rnacentral:lncRNA from 1 species
AUUCAAUCUUAAUUUAAUCCUAUUUAAAAUCCUAUUAGACUUCAUUUAAAUUUUAAGCCAAAAACUAACCAAAUCUUAAAUCCUAAAUAAAUCCUAAUAAAAUCCUAAAUCCUAAAGCAAACCUUAAUCAAAUCCUAAAUCCUAACCCUAAAUCAAAUCCUAAUCAAACCCUAAAUCCUAAAUCAAGCCCAAAAUAAACCUUGAAUCCUAAACCAAAUCCUAACCAAAUCCUAAAUCAAAUCCUAAUCAAAUCCUAAAUCCUACAUCAAAUCCUAAUCAAAUCCUAAAUCCUAAAUCAAAUCCUAAUCAAAUCCUAAAUUCUAAAUCAAAUUCUAAUGAAAUCAUAAACUCUAAAUAAAAUCCAAACUAAAUCCUAAUCCUAAAUCAAAUCGUAACCAAAUCCUAAACUCUAAACCAAAUCCUAACCAAAUCCUAGUAAUUCCUACAACAAAUUUAAACCUCAAUUACUAAUUAAUGAAUUGUUGAUCUUAAUCUUAAAUUUACACACUUCUUAACAAUUAACUUGACAAAAAGCAUAAAAAAUUUGAAAAUAAUUAGAAUUACUAAAUAGACGAUAGCCUCAAAAACAUGCUUAGGUAUUUGUUAGCCUCCUUCUCCGACCUUGAUGCCAAUCUCUCAGAGCCAAUAUCUCUCUUUUUUACCAUUUGAUUCAUCUUAAAAUUCUUAUAUACAUAGAAAAAUAAGUCUAAUAUCUUUACACACAAAUUUCACUCUAAUCCAAUUAGUAGAUUGCAAGAAAUCUUAAAAAUCCUCGUUAGACCUAAAAUUCUAUUUUCUGAGACCUUGACCCACUUAAACCUCAAUAAUCCUCAAUUCAAUUAUUAGAUCGAACUAAGAUUCAUAAUACAUAUUAAGCACAAUUAUAACCAUUAAUCCACAAAAUGUCAUCCAUAGAUCUAUUACAAAACUCUUGAAAUUGUCCAAAAUGUCAACCCUAUUUUAUUUCACAAAACCCAAGUCAUCCAAAAACAAACUUGACUUUGUAAAGCUCUUACAAAGUCAUUACAAAUCCAAAUUAUGCAAAACCAAUGCUCAUAAAAACCUUAUCUAGUCAGCUAUCAAAUUCCAUUCUUUGAUUUGCAAACGAACCUUUGAAUUGUCAUAGAUGUUUGGUUUUGUGCCUCAAGAUUUGAUUUCAACCCAAGUUGAUAACUAGCCCUCUUUGGAUAUCAAAUUUUAUCUUUUUUAGUUAAUUUUUUUAUUAAAAUCAACUCCUAAUCUCUUUUUUUAAAUGCUCAUAUUCUUUAUUUUUCUAAUCUAUUUUAUUUUUCCUUAUUUAUGAUCCAACAAAGUAAGUAGAAGUCACUUUUUUAAAAAAGUAACAUUACUUCUAAAAUUUUUACUAUCUUCUUAUCUUUUAUCCAUAUUUUUUUUACUUUAUAUUUUUACUUGGUUCUUCUAUAAUAAGAUCCAUAUUAUCUUCUUUCACCAUAUAGUCAUGUUACAAUACAACAAUGAUAGUUCUUAAAAUUUUUGAAACUUUUUUUAUUAAGGUUGGAAUAAAUAUAAAUUUAUAUUGUAUAUUUUAAACUUCUCACUAAGCAAAAAAAAGCUUGAUGUUGACAAAAAGGGUUGUACUUAUGUUGUGGAGAAGCUAAUUAUACUACUCAACAUUAUUCAAAGAAUUAAUGUAGUCACAAAAUAAAAAAUAAUUAUCAAAAUAGAUAUUGUAUCAAAAAACAAUUUUUUCUACUUACAAUAGAGAGUAUACAGCUGGAAUCAUGUACAACACAUAGUAAAGGUUCUAUUCUCUCAUCAAAUCCUUCACCUUAUUUUAUAGUAGAUAUAUGUUUAGGACCUAAAAAUCACAAAGUCUUUGUAUUAUUAGAUUCAAGAGCCUCAACCUCUUUUAUAGAUGGAAACUUUGUCAAGAAAUAAGAAAUACCUUUAGUCUAGAAAACUAAAUCCGUACUUAUAGAAAUAAUAGACGGUCAUUCAUUCUCUUUUGGAGGCAUUACUCAUGAGAUUUUUCUUUUAUAUAUAGCAAUUAAAGAUCAUAAUAGUAUAAUAAUAUUUAAUGUGAUAAGAACUUUUUCUAAUUUAAUUAUUUUAGGAUUAUUGUAGUUAGAAAAAUAUAACUUUCAAAUAAAUUAGAUUUCUUAUAAUCUUAAUUUUUCUUGUAGUUUAAUCCAAAAUUCUUGAUAACAAAGUAGAAAUAGAUAAUUCUAGUAUAACCAAGCACUUACUGAUAGAUAUAUGAGUUUUUAUGUAUGUAGCAAAAAAAAUAUCAUCUUUUUUUAUAUAUGCCACAUCCAUUUUUGAUGGUAGAAAGACAUUAAGUGGUAUUCUUAGCUAGUAUUAAGAUUUUAAAGAUAUUUUUGAAAAACAAAAUAUAGAUUUUCUUCCAAAUCAUCUAUUUUAUAAUUAUACAAUUGAUCUAUAUGAAAGAACUCAACCACCAUUCAGAUUGAUCUACAACUUAUUAAGAAAUGAGUCGGUUGUACUUAAAGAGUGCAUAGAUAAGAACUUCGCUAAGUACUUCAUAUGCUAUUCAAAAUCUCCAAUAGAAGCUCCUAUCUUAUUUAUGAAGAAAAAAUAUGAAUCUUUGCAGAUGUACAUAGAUUAUUGGAGACUUAACAAGAUCACCAUCAAGAAUAAGUAUCCCCUAUCUUUGAUUUCAAGACUUUUUGAUCAAUUCAAUCAAGCAAAGAUCUAUAAAAACAUAGAUCUACAAUGAGCAUAUGUCACAGACACAGAAUACAGACUUGAUAUCUACCAAGAAGUUCAAGAAGAACUGGCAAGAACUAGAUUAAUCAGAUGAAUACAAGAACAACACCAGAGAUGUGAGCUAGAGCUCCAAGAGAUGUGUUGUCGAGACUGAAGAAUUCUUCAGCCUCGAUUCCAAUAUAUACUCCUAUUUAGGAAGCUUCUCAAGCAACUUCUACCAACUAGGAAGCUUUUAGAAGGUUUCAGAGACUUGCUUCUAGAAGGUUCUAGAAACUUAUCUCUAGAAGGUUCUAAGGACUAUGUCCGUAAUAUCUUCUACCAACUAAGAAGCUUCUAAAAGGUUCCAGAGACUUGCUUCUAGAAGGUUCUAGAAGCUUGUCUCUAGAAGGUUCUAGAAACUUGUGUCUAGAAGGUUCUAAGGACUAUGUCUCUAACAGCAUAUAAUCUACUCUGCAUCAAAAAAAGAGAUGAAUAGAAGACUACUUUUUAAACUAGGUAUGGACAUUUCAAAUAUAAUAUCAUGCCUUUUGGACUCACAAAUGCAUUAGCUGCUUUUGAACAUUUCAUGAAUGAUUUUUUUUUUUGUAAAUUUUUUCAUGAUUUUAUUUAUUAUUUAGACAACAUUCUAAUCUAUUCUAAGAAUAUCAAAGAAUAUGAACUUCAUAUUUGUUGUAUGUUACAAAAACUUAGAGAUGUACAAUUAUAUAUAAAAUUAAAAAAGUGUGUAUUUUGUACUACUCAAGUUGAUUUCUUAGGAUAAAUCAUUUCCAACAAAAGAUUAAUGAUAGAUUCUAAAAAAGUCUAUAUUAUCAUGGAUUAGAAGAUUCCAAAAACAAUCAAAGAUGUGUAAUAUUUUUUGAGAUUUUCCAAUUAUUAUCGAAUCUUUAUUAAUUUUUUUUCUCAAAUUGCAAUUUAUCUUACACAUCUGAUAUGUAAAGAAAAACUUAAAUAGAGCAAAUAAUCUAAAACAUCUUUAUAAGCUUUGAAUACAUUAUUUAUUUUUUCAUUAAUUUUUGUAUAUUGUUAAUUUUUUAAGGUGCUCUUUAUAGAAACAUGUGCAUUAAACUUUGCUAUUGUACUAUUUUAUUAUAAAUAGAAGUACAUAAUAAUCUAUUUGAUAAUUUUUAAUUUUAAGAAAUUUUUAGCAAUUUAGAUAUUAUAUCAGAUAGAAAGAAUCAAUUUAUAUCAAGAAUUUAGAGAAUCAUUUUAAAGAUUUUAAUGGAAAAUAUAAAGCUUUCUUUGGCUUUUCAUCUUUAAAUUGAUAGGAAAUGAAACAAAUAAAUAAAAUUUUAAAGCAGUAUUUGAAAUUUAUUAUCAAAUAUUAACAAGAUGAUUGAACAAUUCUUUUGCCAUUUGUAAAGUUUAUAUACAAUAAUCCAAUACAUUCUUUUAAUCAACAAACAUCUUUCAUGACCAAUUAUGGUUAUCAUCUACAACUUGAUAUUUUUGACUUUUUAAAAGUUGAUAAUCUUAUGGCAAAAGAUUUUGUAAAUUAUUUUCUAGAAUUAUAUGAAAAAAUGAAGGCACAAUUAAAAGAAGCUCAAGAACCAUAAAAGAUCAAUAUGGAUGUUUAUAGCAAGAAACAACUAUAAUUUAAGGUUGUCUUAUUUUAAAUGCUUAUAAUAUAUAAAAAUUAGUUUAAACAUAUUUAAUAUUUAUAAGUCUUAAUGUGUAUUAGAAUGGUUAAUAAAUUAAUUUAAAGAGAGUAGAUAUAAGAAACUUUAUUUUGAAUCUCAUCUAUUUUUAUUAUAGUAUUUAAAUUAUAUAAAAUUUAGAUGUUUAGUAUAGAGCUUUAAGAGAAGGUGGAAGCCUAAGGAUGAAAAUCUAAACUACUACAAGGCUUAUGGAGAGGGAUGAAAUCAAGGCAUGGUUGGAUGAAGGCAAAAAAUAAAGAUCUUUAUUCCUAUUAGUUGAAGGCCAUGCCUAAUGGAUAUUCAACAAGCUAUCUACAACCAUAAUAAGGAUUUCAGCAACUUUAAAAGGAGAAUUUGGAAAUCAAAAGUAAAUUUUAUAAGGUUUAGAAUUUGGGCUACAAUUUAUGUACAAAUUUUAGAGGAUUUAGAGUUAGGAUGAUGAAGUUAUAGCCAUUUGAAGUUAAGGUAUUUUUUUAAGAUAUACUAUUGCUAUUUUGAUAAUACGAGGAGUUUUAUGAUAGAUUUUGGAAAUAAGAAGAUACAAAUAUAAAGACAAUUUUAAGAUCUACAUCUAUUUUGAAAGAAUUUUUAUAUUUGGAGUUUGUAUGAAGAAGUUAUAAAGCAUUGAAGAGAGCAUAUAUAAUUCAAAGGUAGUAAGUGAGUUGUAUUAUUGAUAGUAAUGGUAUGAGCCAUAUCUUAAGUUUUCGAGUGAAUAUUUGGCUCAAAAGUUUUAGAAGUGUAUAUUAUUAGGUUAAAAAGCUAUAUAUCAAAGUUUUAUGAUAUUUAAAUACUUAUUUUGUGAGAUAUAAAGACAUUUAUACAUAAGUGUAUGUAAGUAGGGAUUUGAAGCUAUUAUUAGGAUUUUGGCAAUAUUUCAAGAUUUAUAAUGGAUUUGUAGUUGAAUUUUUUUGUAUUAAUUUUUAAAAGUACAUCAAUACUUCAUGUAAAAUUUGGAUUUAUUUGAAUGGUCCAAUUGUGAGAUAUGAGUUGUUGAAAUUUGGAAAAAAUUCACCUUAAGGAUAUUAAAGAUUUUGUAAUAUUUUUAUCACAUAUUUGAUGAUCUUUGAUACUUAAGGCUUAUGUAUUGAUGUGAUUGCUCCUAUAGGGAUAAUUUUAUAUAUAAACUUGAUUUUUUCUUUAUCUAAAGGCUUGAUUGAAUAUUUAAUAACAACUAUAAGUCCAUUCAUUGGCACAGAAAUGAUAUUUGUGAACAAAUAUGGAAGCUAGUAAAAAAUCUUAGAAAUAUAAUUAAGAAGGUUGAAACUUUUUAUCAAUAAUAUCCAUCAAAAUCAAGGUGAAGAAUAAAAAAUCUUUGCUAUAAAAGAAACAAGUUUUAGAGAAGAUAGCAUUUCACAUUUUACUCUUUUUUGUAACUUUUGCAUAUUUGUGAUACUAAGAAGAUGGAGAACUAACAACUAGUAGCUUCAAUUGAAGAAUUAUUACUUAUUGACUUAUUGGAUGAGACAUUCCAAUUAUUACAAUGUUCAAGAUGAUGUAAUUAAGAUAAAGAUUCUAAAGAACAACAUAUCUUUCUUCAAAUAGAUGAUAAGUCACAAUGUUGUCAUACUAUAAUUAUUUAGUUAAAUUUUACAUAUUAUAAAUAAUUAUUUAAUUAUAUAUUAUUUAUUUAUAGUAUAUUUUUAUAUGAAGAAGAUGAAGAAGAAUAGCACUUGGUAUAUAUUAGAAGAUGUUCAGAUACAAAGGAUGUGAAUAUCAUAUUUUAAUUAUUUAUAGUAUAUAAAAUUUAACUAAAAUAUAUAAUAUAUUUAUAAAUAUCAAUAUAUUAGAGUGAUUAGUAGGUUAAUUUUAAAAAAAUUAAUGUAAGAAACUUUAUUUUGAUAUUUGUCUAUUUCAAUUAUAUUAUUUAAAUUAUAUAAGAUUUAGAUAUUUAAUAUAAAAUUUAAAGAAAAGAUUGGAGCUCAAAGAUAAAGAUCUAAACUUCUCAGAAACUUAUUUAAAAGGAUAAAAAUAAGGUAUGGAUGGAUGAAGAUAAGGAGUGAAGAUCUUUAUUUGUAUUGAUCAAAAGUCAUAUCCAAUAUGCUCUAGAGAAGUUGUCUCCAACUAUAACAAGGAUUUUGGCAACUUCAAAAGGAACAUUUAAAAAUCUAAAGUAAAGAUUAUAAGGUUUAAGAUUUGGAUUAUAAUUUGUGUACAAAUUUUAGAAGGUUUGGAAUUAGGAUGAUGGUAUUUUAGCUAUUCGAAAUUAAGAUGUCUUUUUAAGAUAUAGUAGUGCUCUUUUGAAGAUAUUAGGAGUUGUACAACUUUUGAAGAUUGAAAGAUGCGAUUGCAAGGGUGAUUUCAAGAUCUAUAUCUUUUAUAAAAGAAUUAUUAUAUUUGGAAUUUGUAUAAAAGAAUUAUAGAGCUUUGAAGAUAACACAUGUGAUUUGAAUAUAGUAAGUGAGGUAGUUUAUUUAUAAUAAUGGUUGGAAUUAUAUCUUAAGUUUUUGGACAAAUUUUUGGCUCAGAAUUUUUAUAUAUACAAAUUUUGUAUAUAUAAACUUAAUGCUUUUUUAUCUUAAGAUUUGAUUGAAAAAUUAGAGAUAAUUAGAAGCCCAAUGCUUUUUUAAGGUUAAGUCUCUUUAUUCUAAUAUAUUUUUGCUUACAUUAAGAAAGCCUAAAGUCACUAAAUUUUUUAACAAGUCAGGAUGGAAGAAAAAAUUUCAAUGUUUACAUUAUUAGAUGGAAUAUGUAUCUAUGAUUUAUUUAGUACCUUUGCUCAAUUUAUGGAAGAGAGACAACAAGUGCAUGAGGAAGAUAGAAACACCAUUAAAGCUUUACAAGUAGUCAUGGAUAAGAUUGAGAGGUUUGAUGGGAGAGACAUCACUAAGUUCCUAAAGAUUUAUACAUAUAAAAUGGAGGAGCAUUAAGUUUCAAAAAUGAAGGUGAUUACUACCUUCGAUUUGGCAAUAAUACUAGAAAUCAGAGAAAAGAUGUAAGAAUUGCAUAUUGAAGCUAUAUUAUUGAACAUGAUGGUGGAGAUUCAUUCAAGAGGAUUAUAUGAAGAGAUAUUAAAGAUAGCUAUUGAUAUAAAGUUGAUUUAAAGUUAUGGCUUGGAGAUUGAAGAAAUGGUGAAUACCAAGUGUAAGAUUGUGGCAAAGAAGGUGAAGCUAAUUGCAGCACAACAGCUGUUGAGUAUGAGGAUCAUAUCAAAAAGGCUAAAAAAGAGCUUAGACUAAAGAAGACAAGAAAGAUUGGAUAUAAUUUUAUAAAAGAGGCAUUGACAAAGCUAAAAAUUGAAGAGAGUGAAUUUUUGAAAGAACUAGAAAAAAAAAUUCCAAAAAAUGAUCUUGACAUAUAGUAAGGCUUUUGUCUCUUUACUAGAUGAGAUUGGAUGUAUUAGUACAAAGGUUGUUGCACCAAUGGUCAUUUUUAUUAUUCCACAUGUACCUUAGAAUUUAAAAAUUAUUCAUGUACUAAAAGCCUUGCUAUCUAAAUUGAUAAGAUAAUUGAAAAAAAAGAUGCAAAUAAAAAUACUUAAACUAUUAAUAUGAAGGAUAGAGCCAAUCUCUAUAUUCCAAAAUCUAAUGGCACCUCAAAAGGUGAUUAAGAUUGUAAAAAAUAAAAUUCUUUAAGAAUUGAUCAAGAUCAUAUAAGAUUUAAAAGUAGAAAUGAUUGAAUUGAAGAAAUCUUAGAUGGCAAGCUCAUCAAAGGCAAUUAUAGAGUCAAAAUAAUUUUUAGAAAGAAAUAUGCAAUGCAACAAUCCAAAUAACAAGCAUAGUGAGUAUGAUAGUUACAAGAUUGCAAUCAAGGAUGGUACUGUAUAUUUCAAGGAAGAUAGGAUAAGACUCAUAAGAUCACAUGAGCUUUUGAAGACUAAUUUUGAAAAGGAUGGCAUGAAAAAUUUAGUGGAAAAGCAAAUAUCAAAGAGUAAUGUCAUACGAGAAAAAAGAGUUGAAUCUUACUCUAUUAGAAUUGAACAAAAAGUAGUUAAGGCUAAUUCUUUAUCAAUUAUAGGAAUCAUGAUCAAGAAAGCUGAAGCUAUCUAAAAAAUGAUUAGAUAGAAUGAUUCAAUUGAUGCUAUUAGCAUUAAAGUAUUUUUAUGUAGGAAUAAACAUAGUGAUGAUUUUUAUGAUACUAUGGUUGAGGAAAAAAGAAGUAGAACUAUUCAUGAAGAGUAUGUUAUUGAGUCUGAAAAUAUAAAGAGGUCUCUAAGUAAUAAAGAAGCUUCUUAGGAAUAAAGAAACCUCUAAUGAGCAAAAAUAAAAAAAUAUCUUCUUCUACUCAUCUUAGUGGUAUAUUAUUACCAAAAAAGUAAUAAGAGAAGGACUAAGAGAAGGAAAAAGAUGACACAAGAAAAUCUAAAGGUAUAAAUCUUGCUUGUAAGCUUCAAUCUGACAUUGAAAUAUCUAUAAAUAUAAAAAGUAUUUUAGAGGAAAAGAUUUUUGAUGCAAAAAAUUGAAUUUACACUAAAAGAGGCUCUUGGUAUAGCCAAAAAGGAUUUCCAUGAUUUGUUCAUCAAUGUAAUAAAGAAGAAGAGACAAAUGACAACUAAAGCUAUUAUAGUAGAAGCAUUGAGUACUUAAAAAACUAUGUAUGAAGAAGAAGAAAUAAUGUAGGUAUUUACAUAAUUUGUAAUUCCAAAAACUCGAAAUAAGAGUGAUAUGGAGGAUGAAGCUUCAUUUAAACAUAUUAAAUCUAUAAAAGAACAUCAAAUAGAAUGCUUAUCUAUAAGAUCUAUAAAAAUAAAGAAAAAUUUACAAGAAGCAUGUUUAAAAAUUUGCAAUAAAUGUCAUGAUGAUAGAAUAAGAAGCAAUAGCUAUUCAAUUCUUUAUUGACCUAAAGCUACUACAGAGUCAUAUAUGAAGUUAGAAGACUCUAAAGAUCCAAUUUUGGCCUUAGUUGAUCAUGGAUCUAAAAUCAACAUCAUAUCAAGGUAGAUAUAUGAAAAAAAUAAGUGGCCAAAUGAUAUCAACUAUGGUUGGAUAAAUAUAGUUAUAUCAACCAAUAAGAUAAUUUAUAUAGAGCUUAUCUAGCUAUAAGGAUUAAGAUUGAAGAUGUGGAAGUUGAAAAAAAACUUUUUGUGCAAAACUUUAUUAUAUAUCUAGUAAUACUUGAUCAAUCCUAUAUUACAAAUUCUAAAAUAAAGAUUAGAAUCUUGGAUAAUGGUUCAUAUUAUGCAAAGAUUUGUAGUAGAAUGGAAGAAAAAUUGUCAAUUUAUUACUAUGAAACCUAUUCAUCAAAGGCAUAGAGAACAACCAAGGAGGAUGUAUUUGGAGCUUGAAAAAUAACUUUGUGUAUUUUUAGAGAGCAUCCUUGUAGAAUGGAGAUAUAUGAGUGCAAAUGAAUAAUUUAUAAACUCUAAUAUAGAUAAUAUAAGUUUUGGAUUAUUAAACUUGACUAAUAAUGGAUUUAUGAGUAUUCAAAAGAUUAAAGAUUUAGAUUUUAUAAAUAUAAGAAGAGUGAAGAAAUAUGAAAUUUUUUUAAAAAGAAUGGAAUUAGUUUCAAAUAAUGAAGCCAUAGUUGAAAUAAUAGAAGAAGUAGGUUUAAAAAAUGAUUUAAAAAUAUUCUAGAGAAUUUAGCUAUAAAUAUGAAUAAAAAUGCUAUAGUAGAAAUACACUCAAGAAUAACUUAUAAAGAGUUAGAAAAGAUACUAGCAAAUGGUAGACUUGCUAUAAGCUAUGAGCUGAAACAUGAAGCCAAAGUUCAAACUAAAUAUAAAACUAUAAGAAGAAAGAUAAAAAUUGUAGCUACUUAAUUACCAAUUGAUAUUAUAGAAUAUAUGAAGUAAGCAAUUAAAAAGCCAAGUUUAAGAGAGAGGUGAAAAAUUGAACAUCAAUUUAUUCAAGAAUCAUUAGUUAAGCUAAAGAUUAGAGGGGGUGAUUUCUUGACAUCAAUGAAAAAAAUGUGUUUCAAAAAAUGCUUUUAAAAAAUGAUAAGGCAAUUGCCUUAAUUUUUAAUAAGAUUGAAUGUAUAGAUACUAAUAUUGUAGUACCUAUGGUAAUCUUAACAAUGCCACAUGUUUCAUGGAAUUUAAAGCUUAAAUAUGUGCCUACAGCUUUGCUUCCAAAAUUGAUAGAAUUAUUAAAAGAAAAGGUAAAGAUGGAUAAUUUAGAACCUUUGAUUGCUCUAUAUUCUAAUAGAUGAUUCAUAGUACCUAAGAAAUCAAAGGCAUUAAGAAUCAUUGAAGAUAUCCAACUUAAAAAUAAAGUGACUAUUCAAAAUAUAAAAUCUGGUCUUAAAUUAGAUGAAGUGGUUGAGUAAUUUAUAAGUUAUGCCAUUUAUUCUAUUAGAGGCUUAUAUUCUAAGUAUGACCAAUUUUAAUUGGCUAAAAAAAUUAGAAAUUUAACUACCAUAAAGACUCCUUUAGAUUUAAUGAAAAUAUAUACCUUAAUUCAAGGUACAUUCAACUUAGUGGUUUAUAUGUAUAAUAUCAUAAAUCAAAUAUUAAAAGAAUUUAUACCUAAAAAUAAUAUUCUAUUUUUAGAUGAAAUAUAUAUAUAUAUAUAAAAAUAGAAAAAAAUAAAGAUGAGAACAUAAAAAUUGAAGGUUACAUAAAUCUUGUUAAGAAGCAUAUUGAAGAUGUGACUAAGAUAUUAAAAAGAUUAGAAUUAGUUAAUUUCAUAUUAUCUUUAAAAAUAUUAAGCUUUGGAGUUGAUGAGAUUUUAGUAGUGAGAUAUAUGUAUGGCAAAUAUAGUAUGAAAUCAAACUCUAAUAAAGUUGAUACUACAUCUAAAAUGAAGGCUUGAAAAAGUGUUAUAAAAGCAAGGAGGACUUUAGAGGCCUAUGUAUUCUAUCAAAUUUGGAUGCUUUAUUUUUUCCAUAUCUCAAAGCUACUAUAAGAGUUAUUAAAGAAGGAUAAGAAAUUUAUUUGGAAAGAAGAAUAAGAAAUAGCUAUGAAAAAUCCAAAAAGAUGUUAAAUUCACCAUGUGUGCUUAAAGAAGUAGAUUAUUAAUAUAAAAGACUAGUGGUUAUAACAGUAGAUACAAGUCUCAUAUUAAUUGGAUGGUCUAUUUGACAAGAUGAUAUAGAAGGAAAAAGAUUUGCUAUAAAUUUUUGAGCUAGGAUUCUUAUAGAGAGAUAAAGGACUUAUCUAUAAAUUAAAAGAAAGCUUUGGAAAGCACACACCACUCUAAAGGCUGAGAAGAAUUAUUUGAUUAGAACAAGUAUGAUUUUAGAAAAAAAUUAUUUGCUAUUAUUUGAAAUAAUAACUAAUUGUACUACUUUAGAUAUUGUCAUAUUAAGAUGGAUAGCCUACAGAAGAAUAUUGAACUUUGUUUUAGUAUAUAUUACUAAUAAAAAGAAUUUGGUGGCAAAUAUGUUAUCCAAAGCUAAGUAAACCUUUGAAGAAGAAAUGAUGGUGUACAAAAGUCAUAAAGAUUAAGAUAAGAAGAGCUAUAGAAAUUCAUUUGCUACUGGUCAAAUGGAUUUUGGUGAUGAGAUUCAAAAUUUCUAUGAAGAUUUGUAUGAAGGAAAAUUAAAAGAUAUUAGAAUUUAUUUAAAUACAAUGAAAAAAAUAAGAAAGAUGGAUGGAUAAAACCUUCAAAUAUAUUAAACACCAAUCUUAUGAUUAUCUACUUAAAGAUGGAUUUUUAUAGAAGAGGCCAAAAAGAGGUAACAAAAUCCUAAUGAGGAUAGUAAGAAAUCUUGAAACCAAAUUUAAAGUAUUAAGAAAAUAUCAUGAUACUUUUUGAGAGGACACAAAGGAGUUUGGGUCACAUAUAUAAAGAUCAAGGAAAGAUAUUAGUAAAAGGACUUAUACACGGAUAUAAAAGACUUUGUGAGUUCAUACACAAAGUAUCAACUAUAGUCUAAGAUAAGAUAUAGAGAUGGAUUACAUCCUACUUAUCCACCUUUAAUACAUUUCCAAUGAAUAAUUAAUUUGGUAGCUAUGCCAUUAGGACUUUGAAGUAUGAAAUAUUUAGUUUUGGUAAAAUAAGAGUUAUUAAAUUAUGUUGAAGAAAGGACUUUGAGAACUAAAAUCAUAGAAGCAGUAUGCAGAUUUAUACUAAAAGAUAUCUUUUGCAAAUAUGCUAGUAUUGAAAAGAUGAGAGUUGAUAGAUAAAAAUUGGAUACUAUUGAAGCAAGAAUUUUUUUCAAUAAAUAUGAAAUUCAAUUGAAGUUGAUUAUUUCUUGUAAUCUUGAAGCUAAUGAAAAGAAUAAAAGGGAUCAUCUUCUUAUCAUUUAUGUAUUGAUUAAAGCAUGUAAAGGUAAGCCAAUUCAAUGGUAUAAAGUACUUUCACUUACUUUAUAAAUUAAUAUGACUACUUAUAAUAUUAUUAUUGAUUAUAUGCCUAUAGAGUUAAUAUUAGAAAUAAAAAUCUAUAAUGCUAGUUUAAAAAACCUAUCUUAUAUGGAUGUUUUUAUCUAAAAAAAAUAAUAUUAAUAAAAAAUUAUUAUUGAAGCUUUAAAUCCAAUAGUUGAAAAGGUUACUGAAGGACCUACAUAUUGCAACACAGAGGUUAAAAGAUAUAUUUAUAAGUAUAUAUAUUUAUAAGUAUUGAUAUUUAUUACAAUGAUUAAUAAGUUAAUUCAAAGAGAGUUGAUGUAAAAAAAUUUAUUUUAAAAUUUACUUAUUUUUAUUAUAGUAUUUAAAUUAUAGAAGAUUUAGAUAUUUAGUAUAAUUGAUUGAAGCUAUAUCUUGCGUUUUCAAAUGAAUUUUUGACUCAAAAUUUCAAAAGGAACAAGUUUUAUAUAUAUAAACUUGAUGUUUUUUUUUUAUCUUGAGAUUUGAUUAAAAAAUUAGUAAUAACUAAAAGCCUAGUGCUUUCUUAAGGCAAAUCCUCUUUAUUCCAAUAACAUAUUUGGUAUCAUAAUAUUGGAAGAAACUUCCAAUAUUUGGUGAUUUUAUAAGAGGUAGGAAUGACUCCUCAUAGUGUUUUAAAUAUUUCAUUUGAAGGGAGUUAUAAAGGGCUCAAAAAUAAUCAAAUAAUAAGGUGGUCUUCUUACUUUGAUAUAGGACCCUAUUGAUAGCUGAAAAUUCUUAUGAAUUAUCUUUAAAGUGAAGAAAGAUUAUGACAUGUUGCAAAUAUAAUUUGCGACAUCUAAGAUUUUUUGAAUAUAUGAUAAUCAUCCCUUGUGGAAUUUAUCUCUAAAAAGAAAAGUAAUAUCAUUGACAUAUAUAUUUAUUCUAAUAUUUAUCUAUAUGAUUAAAUAGAAGUAGAUAAAAGUAGAUUUAUUUCAUGAUAUUUUCUAAAAAUGCUUCCUAGAAGAUUCAUAGAUGUUGUUUUGACUUUAUAUGUACUUAUAGUUGAUUGAUAGGUUAGAAACUUGGUCAAUAAAUUAACUAUAUAUAAAUAACUUGCUGAAUAAGCUAGUUAUGUGGUGCUCAUAUAAAAACUUGUUUUGCAAGUUAGAUAUGUAUCUUGUAAAGUUAACAUGUUUUAGAGGUCCUACAGGAUAUUACUACAUAGCUCCUAAUUAAGAGUAUAUAUAGAGGCAAGACUGAAGCCUUUCUCACUUUUGUCAACAUCUUUUCAAUCUUUAGUCUUAUUUUAAGUCUUUUUAGUCUUCUUAUUUAUAGCAAUAGCCAUUUUAAUUCAAUAAUAUAUCAUCUUUGAAUGAUUUUCAUUCUUUUUGAAUAAAACAAGAGUAUAUUGAUAUUUGAAUUUUUUGAGAUUCAUGUCCUUCACAACUUUUAUAUUUGCUGCAAAAGAAGGAUCAACUUUUGCUAUAUAUGCCAUAUCUAUUAUUGAUGGAGAAAAAGAAUUCAAAUGGAAUUCUAAGCCAAUAUCAAGAUUAUUAAGACGUUUUUGAAAAAAAAUAGAGAUAUUAUUUUAGAGCUUUUUUCCUUUGAUUGUUCCAUUAAUCUUUAAGAAGGAGCUCAACCACCAUUUGGACUAAUUUAUAGUCUAUUAGAAAAUAAAUUGGAUGCACUCAAAGAAUAAAUUGAUGAAAAUUUGGCUAAAAACUUUAUACACCAUUUUAAAUCUCCAACCAAAGCUCCUAUAUUAUUUAUGAAGAAAAAAAUAGAUCUUUAUGAAUAUGUGAGGACUAUUAAGGACUCAACAAGAUUACCAUUAAAAAUAGAUAUUAUCUAUCUUUAAUUUUAAAAUUUCUUGAUCAACUAAAUCAAACAAAGAUCUAUACAAAAAUAGAUAUACAAAGAGCCUAUAGCCUAAUAUUAUUAAAGAAGGAGAUGAAUGGAUGAUUACAUUUCUAACUAGAUAUGGACAUUUUAAAUAUAAUGUCAUUCCUUUUAGACUCAUAAAUAUAUCGAUUACUUUUCAACAUCUAAUGAAUGAUGUCUUUUGUGAGUUUCUUAAUGAUUUUAUUAUUUGUUAUUUAGACAACAUCCUAAUCUACUUUAAAAACACAAAAAAAUAUAAAUUUCUUAUUUUUUGUGUAUUACAAAAACUAAGAGAUGUAGGAUUAUAUACCAAGAUGAAAAAUUAUGUAUUUUAUACAACUUAAGCUAACUUAUUAGAUCACAUCAUUUUAAAUAAUAGCCUUAUGAUAGAUUCUAAAAAGAUUUAGACUAUCUAACAUUAGAAAAUUUCAAAAACAAUCAAAGAUGUACAAUAUUUUUUGAAUUUUACUAUUUAAUAUCAGAUCUUUAUCAAGAAUUUUUUUCAAGUUGCAACUCUUCUUACAUGUUUGACUUAUAAAGACUAGCUUGAGUGGAGUAAAGAAGCUGAAGCAUCUUUUGAAACCUUAAAGAUAAUAUUUAUUUUUAUUCCAAUCAUAUAUUGUAUUGACUUUUUUAAAGUAUUUUUUUAUAAAAAUAGAUACAUCAGACUUUAUCAAGGAUGUAGUUUGGUGACAAAUGGAAGCAAAUAACAAACUCUAUCUUAUGACUUUUUAUUCUUAAAAAUUUUCAAUAAUUGAAAUUAACUAUGGGAUCUAUCAUAAAGAGUUUUUUGCCAUCACAGAUUUAUUUGAAGAUUGGCAUCAUUAUCUAAAAGGUACCUCAAAUCUAUUCAUCAUAUAUAUAUAGAUCUUAAGAACCUUGAGUACUUCAUAUUGGCACAUAUGUUACAUUAUUGCUAAGCCUGUUGGAGCUUGUCUUUAUCAAGGUUUGAUUUUAAGAUGACUUAUCAAUCUGAAAAAUAAAAAAAGAUUAAUUAAAUAUUCUUUUUAAAUAUUCUUAUCUUGCACCAAAAGAAGAAAAUAUAACUUUUGAUUAAUAAAGAACAAUUUUCUUGAAGCCAAAGUAUUUUUAUCUUCAAGUAAUAAAAUCAACAUUGAUUGUUGAUUCAAUUUUUUUUAAACAACUUCAAUUGAAAGUCUUUUGAUCCUCUUGUUUAUAAUAUUAAAAAUAAUUCUUCUAAGUCUCAUGAUACUUCUAAGUUCGAAUUUAAGAAUAAUCUAAUCUUGAGGGGCAAUUAUACAUUCCAAAAGAUAAAGCACAGUUAUGUAUUCUUCAAGCUUACUAUGAUUUUCUAGCAACUAGACAUUUUGGAUAUGAUAAGACUUUGGAGCUAAUAUGUAGAGGUUUUUGGUAGCUUCAAAUCUGGAAGGCAAUUAAAGACUUAGUACAAUCAUAUGACAUUUGUUCAAAAUCCAAAAUCUUUCGUCAGCAACCUUAUAGACUUCUUCAGCUAUUACCUAUUUUGAAACAACUAUGGUCUUUUAAUCCUAUAGAUUUUAUCAUAAAUCUUUCAAUCUUAGGCUUGUAUUAUUUUAUAUUCAUGAUAGUAGAUUGUUAUACAAAGAUAGCAUAUUUUUUUAUCAUGUACAAAAUCUAUCACAAAUGAAGAAAUAACUAAAUUUUUCUUUGACAACAUCUAUUAUUAUUAUGAAUUACUCAAAAUUAUUAUAUCAAAUAGGAGAACUUAAUUUAUAUUAAGAUUUUAGAAAAUUAUUUUAAGUUUCUAAAAAUAGAUAUAAAACCAUAUUUAAUCUUUUACCUUCAAAUUAAUAGAUGGACGGAGUACAUAGAUCAAGUUUUAGAGCAAUAAUUAAGAUGUACCAUCAACUAUCAAUAAGAUAAUUAAAUAAUUCUUUUUUUCUUGGUAUAAUUUUUUUAUAAUAAUAUAGUAUAUUUUUUUAUAUGAUAAAAAUCUUUUUUUACUAAUUAUGGUUAUUAUCUAUAACUUGAUGCUUUUGACUUCUAAAAAGUUGAUAAUCCUAUACCAAAAUAUUUGACAAAUAAUUUAUCUAAGCUAUAUAUAAUAAUAAAGGUAUAAUUAAAAACAACUUAAGAUUGACAAAAUUCAAAUGCACAUGCCUAUUACAAAAACAACUUCGAUUCUAUAUUAGUGACAAGAUAUGGUUACUUUGUCACAAUAUCAAAUCUAGCCGUUUUUGUCUCAAAUUAGAUUAUUAUAGGCUGAAAUCAUUUGCUAUUUUUGAAUAAGUCAAUUUUAUUGCUUAUUAAUUAUAUCCACCAAAGUUUAUAAAGAUCCAUUCUAUAUUUUUCAUAUCUCUUUUUGAAUCAUAUAAAAUAGUGAAUAUCUCAAAAAGAAGACAAAUGCCACUUCUUUCUAUAGGAAUAAAUAAUAAUCAAGAGUUUGAAGUUAAAGAAAUUUUAGAUUUGAAGCAGCUUCAAAAUAGGUUGAAAUAUCUUACAUAUUGAUAUGGAUAUGAUAUUAGUGAACAUACAUAGAAGCCGGCAAAGAAUUGUGAAAAUAGGGCAAAGAAGGUUGAAGCUUUUUAUUGGUAAUAUCUAUCAAAAUUAAGAUGAAAAAUAACAAGUUCUAUGAAAGAUGAUGAUCGCUCUUAUGAUGUAAAAUGGCUUAUAGGUGAAAGGGUGAAAAAAAUAUUAUACUUUUGAAGAUCUUAUUUCAAAUAUAUUGUAACAAAUUAUCUUGGAAAAAUAGAUAAUAGUCAAGGGGUAGAAAAAUUAAAGGUGUUAUUAUUGUCUUUUUACAAAAUAGGCUUCUACUGACUUUGUAGGACCACAAAUAGAGCAAAAUAAGGUAGAUUAGAAAAAUAAAAAUAUAAGCACCUUUGAAAAGAAGUUAAGAGUAGUUUGUAGAAAAAAUUACCUUAAAAAUCUAAGGGAUGAUAUCCAAAGAGGACUAGUCACUAAUCAAGGUCAAAAUCACACCCCAAGGCUCAAAACCAAGCUUUGAUGAUGAUUCUAGGAUUCUUUUGGAGAUGAAAGAAUAGGAUCUUAGAAUUGACUUGAUGGAAUUUUUUUAAGCAUUGGUUUAAAGUGAUUUGAGUAUGUAUUGACUUUAUAAGAGCUUUACAAAGUUAGUAUUUAUUUUUGAUGAUUCUAAAUUUGUAAAAUAAAAUAGGUGAUAUUUUUUGGAGAAUUUCAUAAAUUCAGUAGUAGAUCUAUAAGUAAAAUUUUAAGAGUUUGUAGAUACAUAUGUGCUCAAUAUAUAUUAUAAGUUUGAGCUUGAUCAAAGGGAUGAAUUGAUGGUUAUUGAGGUAUAAGUGCGUUGUAAUCUCAAAAAGUAGAAUUUUAGGUUUAAUGAGGAUUUCUAAGAUUUUUGCAAUCUAAUAGUUGGAUUGUAGUAAAAGUUAUAUAUGUAGGUAGUAGACUUAAUUUACUACACAUAUAUGAAAUUUAAAAAUAAUCAAAUGGUUUGAAAGAGAGAUUUUGGUGCUAAAGUUUCAUCAUUCAGAUUAGAGUAGGAGAGCAUCCAACAUUUGAGUAGAUUUUAGGAUUAAGCUUCUUUUUGGUGAGUUCGAUCUUCUUCAAUUUUUUUGUGCUUGUCAUCAACUUAAUUGUUAAGAAGUAUGAAAGUUUUGACUUAAAAUCAAUGAUACACUCAUUAAUUAUUGAGGUCUAAAUUUGCUGUAGGAAUUACUUGGAAUUGAUUAGGAUUUGAUGAGGGUUUGAUUAAGAUUUGGUUAGGAUUUGAUUAAGGUUUAGGAUUUUAUUUAGGAUUUAUUUUGGUUAGAUUUUGUCUAGGAUUUGAUUAGGAUUCAAUUAAGAAUUGGCUGAGGUUUGUUUAAGAUUUGAUUAGGAUUCAAUUAGGAUUUGACUAAAGUUUGUCUAGGAUUUGGUUAGAGAUUAUUUAGGAUUUUUUUAGGAUUUGACUAGGGUUUGUUUAGAAUUUAGUUAAGAUUUAUUUAGGAUUUGAUUAGGAUUUGAUUAGGAUUUGUUUAGGAUUUGGUUAGGGCUUAUUAAGGAUUUGUCUAGGAUUUGGUUAGGGCUUAUUAAGGAUUUGUCUAGGAUUUGACUAGGAUUUAUCUAAGAUUUGGUUAGGAAUUAUUUAGGAUUUGAUUAGGACUUAUUUAGGAUUUGAUUAGGAUUUGUCUAGGAUUUGGUUAAGCCUUAUUUAGAAUUUUAUUAGAAUUUAUUUAGGAUUUGAUUAAGACUUAUUUAAGAUUUGAUUAGGAUUUAUUUAAGAUUUGAUUAAGAUUUGGUUAGGAUUUAUUUAGAAUUUAUUUAGGAUUUGCCUAGGAUUUGAUUAGGACCAUAUAAGAUUUUAUUAAGGUUUGAUUAAGGUUUGACUAAGAUUUGACCAAGGUUUGACUAAGUUUUGAUUAGGAUUUAAUUAAGAUUUUUAUUUUAAUAUUUUAUUGAGAUUUCUAUUUUAGUAUUUUUUUUGAAUUUCUAUAUAUUUUUUUUAAGAUUACUUAAAAAGAUCUCUAAUAAUACUUUGUAUUUCUUGUUUAAUUCCUUUGAAACUUUAAUUGAAUUUAAUUGAUAUUUGAUUGUAUUUUUAAUCUUUAAUUAUAAUUUAAUUAAGAAUCUAUUAAAGUUGUUAUGACUUAUUGUUGCAAUUUUUCUUUUAUCUUUUACAGUGAAGUAUCCGGUGCAUUUUUAAGCCAAAUGUCACAUAAUAUGAUACCGCUCCUCAUAGAAUUGGUUCUUAGAAAGAAGGCUAAUAUCACAAAUAUAUAUUUUUUCUUUAAUAAUUAUCUAUAUAAUUAAAUAGAAAUAAAAAAAUUUGAUUAAUUUUAUAAUAUCUUCUAAAAAAGCUUUUUGAAGCUUUAUAGACAUUAUUGUAUUAUGUGGUUUUCUAUCUGAGAAUACACUAGGUUCUUAGCUAUGGAGAGUUUAGUUUUAACUUAUUAGCUAAGUUCCAAUAAAUUAAUUAAUAUUUAAAGUAAAAGACAAAUAAAUACUACAAUAUUAAAAAAUAUUAUACUAGUAAAAUCUUUUAUAUUUAAGAAUUUUUGUACAUAAAGCUUUCUAAAAUAUCUAAAAAUUUCCUAACAUUCUUGGCGAUACCAAAUCAUAACUAACCAUUUUCAAUAAUUCCAAAAAAAAUCUAUAAUCUCUUCUCAAAAGCUCAGAUUUGUAUCAAAAUUUAACCAUAGCUCUAUAUGUCCAUCUUCAAUAUAUAUAUAUAUAUAUAUGAAUUCUUGACUUCCAAAAAUCCCUCUACUUUAUAUAAAAUAUUUAAAUUAUAAUAAAAUUCCUUCAAAACAUAAUAUUUCUAUAAAAGAUUUUUUUUUUGAAUUUCAAAAAUUUAUAUUUUUUGAUCCAAAUGUUUAGUUUUUGUCAAAUUUACAAAAAUUAUAGAAUUUAUCCUUAAUCUUUACUUCAAAUUAAUUCAAUUAUAAAUUUACUACUAAUCAUCUAGCAUCUUAAAAUCCCUAACAAUUGCUCUAGAAUCUUAAUUCACAAGCACUUGAGUACUAUUUUCUUUAUAUUUCACAAAUCCAAAAUUCAAAUGUCAAAAGUCUUAUGUAUAAAAUUUAAUAAUAUGAAAAUAUAUAUUUUUAGAAAUUUACAGCCAAAAUCUUAUCAAAUUGUACAAACUAUAGCUCAAAAUACAACCACUAGUAAUUUGAGUUACUUACUACUCCUUAGAUUCCAAGUACUGACUUCAACUUCCAAUAUCUCCUUCAUCCUAGCUUAUAAUUCAUCAAACAAUAUGUAUAAAUAUAGCUAAAAAAAUACUCUCCCUUUUUUAGUCACCAAUCUUUAAUUGCCUUUUGUACCCAUGCAUUAUAUCCAAAAGAAUUACAAUAUAUACAAAAUCGACACCUUGACUUUGAGCAACUAUAUCUCUUUCAUAAAAAUUCCAAAUGACUCCAAAUUUGUACCAAAAUCAUAGUCAAAAAUCCAAUCUUUGCUUUAAUGUUUGAAUGCCCCCAAAAGACUAAUCCUAAUACCUAAUAAGGCCUCAAAUAUCUUCCUUGAAGCUCAUUGGUCAUGAUUUUUGACCAAUAGGAAUGGAAAUUUAUAUCAUCCAUCUCCAUUCAUUCAUAUGGUUCUUUUAACUACCUUUUUUGCUACCAAAAUCCCUCUUCAAUUCUUUUUCAUAUAAGAUUUAUAUAUUAUAUGCCUUAAACACUAAAUAAAAGAACCAAAAUAAAACUUCAAGAGUCACUAAUGUCUAACAAGGGUGACUCUAAAUAUUUAAAAGUUACUACUAAUAAGAUAAACUUCAUAAGUUACUAUCAAAAAAAAAAAAAUUAUGAAUUCUAAUAGAAGCCCUUUUAAACAACCUCUUUUUGAGAUAGUAAUCUAUCCACAUCUUAACUAAAAAAAAUCCACUAAUAUGGCUUUCACCAUGUUGUCUAAUAUAUUUUGUAUUAAAUAUAUAAACAUAUUAUUUUUACAUGAUAGCCAAACUACAACAUCAUAACGUGGCUUUGACUUUACUUAUAUAUAUAAUUAAUUUAUAAAUUAGAAACUUAAUCAAUAAAUUAGCCACAUGUCAUAUAUAUUAGUAGUUUGUAGAAUAAGCUAAUUAAAUGGCACAUAUAUAAGAAAAUUGCUUUGUAAGUUAAAACAUGUAUCUUGUAAAGUCAAUAUGUAUUAGAGAUCUUAUAAAAUAUCUCCAUGUAGAUCCUAUUUAGAAAAAAUAUAUGAAAAAAAAAGUAAAGCCUUUUUCACUCUUAUCAAUGCUUUUUUAGUCUUUAGUCUUGUUUUAAGACUUUCUCGUCUUUUUGACUUUCGCAAUAGCCAUUCUUGUACAAUAUAUUAUCAUCUUUGAGUAUUUUUUUAUACUUUUUAAAUGAUACAAGAGUGCAUUGAGUUUUUUUUUUUUUUUUUUGAAAUUUUAUGUCUUCAAUAAUUAUUUAAUAAAUUGAAAAAAAAUCAUAUAAAUUAUAAGAAAAAAUCUUUAAUUAUUAUGGUUUUUUUAUGAUGCAUUUUUUUUUAUAGGAUUUUUGAAAUUUAUCAUCAAAUGCAUGAAUCAUUUAUAGGUGUUACGGACAUACAUAUUUUUCUUCAUAAUUAUCUAGCUAAUAAGAAUAGGUAGAAGUAAGUCAAAAUAAAUAAAUAUGAUAAUAUCUUAUGGAAAGCUUCCUUCAAGCUUUAUAGACAUUGCUUUGUCUUUAUACAUGUCUAUAGGUGAUUGGUAGGUUGAAAACUUGGCCAACAAAGAGGCCACGUGUCACACAAAAUAAUCAUACUUUCUUGUCAACAUGGAAUUAAAGUUAUUCCUUAUAAUAGGCAUCUUUCUUGAUCUUUUGUCAUUCUUGAGAUUCUUUUAAUUGUGCUUUCAUUGUUAUAGGUAGCUUUAAUAAAAAAAUUGCCAAAUCUCCCAUAAUAUGAUUAUUAACUUUUAAGAAGUCAAAAAUAUUAAGUUUUAGAUGAUAGCCAUAAUUAAAAAAAAUAAAUUUAUUGAAUAGGAGAGUGUAUUAUGUUAUUAUAUGCAAACUUUGUUAAUAAUAAAAAAAUAUAUUUAUCUUGAUGGUAAUUGAUAGUACAUCUCAAAUAUUGUUUCAAAACUAAAUUCAUGCUUUAUAUUUUGGAACAUAUAAGCGUUCUUUAAAAUAAAGUAUACUAUUCAUGAAUUCAAACUUAGAAAUAUUAUGAGAUUUAUAUAGAUUAUUCUUAAUAUCAAGAGUACAAGAAUGUCAGGACAUACUUGAUUAACCUUGAUUAAAGAAGCUUGAAUUAAUAAUCAAUGUUUAUUUCAUUGCUUGAAGAUGAAAUUCCUUUGGCUUCAAAAAAAUUCUUUGUCAUUGAUAAAAAAAAAUAUAUUUCUUUCUUUUGGUCUAAAAUAAAAACAUCUAAAAAAGGCGUUUAACAAAGCUUGUUAUUUUCUUGAUUGAUGAGUAUUAUUGAAUUGAAAUCUUCAUAAAGACAUACUCCAACAAAUUUGGAAAAAAUUUAAAACACAUAUUGAUAUGAAAUAUUUGAAGUUCUUGUGAUAUGUAUAAAAGAUCAUCAAACUUGAAGUGCCAUUUAGAUAAUGGCAUCAUUCUUUCAUCAUAUGACAAUCAUUUCAAAUCCAUCAUAUGACUAUCAUUUUAAAUAAUUUUUUCUAAGAAAUCAACUUCAAUUGUGUAAAUUAUACAUUUCUUUAUGUUAAUGUAUAGUCUUCCUUCUUUAAAUUUUUGUAACACUUAAUAAAUAUGAAAUUCAUGCUUUUAUGUAUUCUUAGAGUAAAUAAAAAUUAUAUCUAAAUAAUAUAUAAAAAAUUCAUCUAAAAAUUCUUAAUAAACAUCAUUCAUAAGAUGUUAAAAAGAAAUUGAUACAUAUGUGAGUCAAAAAAGCAUGAUAGUAUAUUUAAAAUAUCUAUACCUGAUUAUAAAUAAAAAUUUAUAUUUAUUCUCUUUUUUAAUAUAUAUUAGAUUUUUUUUACUCAUUAUAGAUCUAUUUUUAUAUGGAUCUUUUCUUAAUUCAAUUAUUCAAAAAGUCUUGAUAUCAAAGAUAGAAGAAAUCUAUUUUUAAUAAUGAUCAUUUAGAGUCAUUGACAAUUCAUAUAUAUAUUGGCAUUGAUUUGUCAUUUUUUUUUUCAAAUAAGAUAGGAGCUCGUGUUAAAGAUUUUGAAUGGUAUAUAAAGUUUUUAGUAAGAUUCUUGUUAAUAUAUUCCUUGGAUUCAGUCAACUCGUUUUGCAAUAAGCUAUAAAUUGAUCCAAAUGGUAGUUGAAUUCUUACUUGAUAAUCAAUUGAGUAAUUAUAAAAACAAUGCUAUAAAAGAAUAUUUAUAUUCUUCUUCUAAAAAAUGUCUUGAUAAUCUUGGUAUUGGCUUAAAAUGAUACUUGAAGUUUUUUAUUGUAAAAAAUAGAUUUGGCAUAAAUAAAAAAUAUGAAUCUUUUUUUAUAAGACAAAUGAAAGUUUUUGUACCUAUCAAUAAGAAUUUGGUUCUAUUGGACUUAUGAUUUUUACUUAGAUAAUAAAAAUAUGGAUUAUAUUGUAGAAAAAAUUAAGGUUAUAAAUUUUUUAGUUUAUUCAAAGAAUAUAUAUUUUUAGCCAUAAUUAAUCUAAAAUAAUUAGAUUGAAAGGAGAUUUAAUAAAGUUAAAUAUUACUAAGCUAUUAUAUCUAUUAAUUGCUAUACUUUUAAAAAUAUACCACCUAUAAUUUUUACAUAUAUAAGAUUUUUUUUCUAAAUUAAAAAUAUUUUAUAUUUUUCAACAAGGCCUUUGUUUAUAAAAACAAGUUAAGACUCCUAAAUCUAAUAAGACAAACACUUUAUAAUAUUUUGAUCCUAAAAAAAUAUCUAUUAUAAAUCAAGGUGUUGGAUGUGAAGAGAGAAUAUGAUCUUUAUUGGUAGUUGUAUAAGAUUCUAGUAGCAUAAUUUCUAUUGCAUAAUCAUAUUAUAUAAUAUGUUUUAUUUUUCUUAUAUUAAAUAAUAUAAAUUUUAAUUUUUGCUUUCAAGGAAAAAAAGAUUGUUAAAAAAUUAAAACAAACAAAAUUACAAGUUUGAUAAACUUAAGAUAGAAAAAAUGAAAUAUUUAAUCUUUUAAUUUUUUAAAAAAAGACAUUUCUUUUGAUUCACUUUGUUCCAUUUGAACAAAUAGAUCCCUUGUUGGAUGGUCUUAUUUAUUUGAUGUAAUUGAAAUGUGUUAUGAAAUCACAAAUAGUUAUUGUAUACAUUUAUUAAACAUGACGUUUAUCAUAACAUUAUAAAUUUCAAAACAAAUCAAUGCAGUCUUGAUUGGUUUGAGUUUAAUUAAAAACACACGACUCCUAAAAUGCUAGGAAAUGUUUUUACAAUAAAGCACAAUUUCGAUGACUUAUUACAUAAUAUCUCUUAAAAUCUUAAUUAUUAUAUAUUAUCCAAUGAUAAAGAAGAUACAAAAUAUGCAUUUCAUUCCACUGAGAUGUGGAUUUAAACACACACUUAACUAUACAGUUGAUUUUGUUGAAGGUUACAUAUUUAAUUAUAUUCAUAAAUUGUUGAUUGAAGUACACCAAAGUAUUAAUAACUGAAGUAAAUAAGAAAUUGAUUGACUAAAAUCUCAAAAAUACUCCGAUUUUAACUCUCAACAAUCAUUUCUUCCUGUUUGUUAAUUUGUUUUACAUCUGAAUUUUUGUACCAAAUAAAGCCAACGAUAAACUCAUUUUUUUUGUUAAUUGAAUUUUAUUUUAAAGCUGGCUGCAGAAUACAAUUUCAGAAGUUUCUAUUUUAGGUUAGUGGUAAUCACUAUGAAUGCUCUUCUUUCUCUUUGUUACCAGUGACAAGGCCCGAAAGAUAGAUCGAUCCACCCAGUGUCGUAUUGCCACUGCUGCUACUACUACGACUAUUCCGUGGCCCUAUCGAAGAUCAGUUCCAAGGCAAACAUUGGCCUAAUGUUGACCACUUGUAGUACAAGUUGGACAUAUGGCAUACAUCUAAGAAACUUGCUUUGCAAAUUAGACAUGUAUCUUACAAGUUGGAUGCAUAUUAGUGGUCCUAUAGCAUGUCACCACAUAUUUUUUAGUUAAAUAGUAUAUAUAGAGGCAAGAGUGAGGCCUUCCUCAUUCUUGUCAAUUCUUUUCUUAUUUUUAGUUUAGUUUCAAAAGUCUUAUGUUUUUUAAAUCUUUGGCAAUAGCCAUUUUAGUUCUUCCUUGAAUAUACAUACUUUCUUCUAUUUUGUCACUUUCCUUUUGAUAUUGUUUCCUCAAGUUUAUGUAUCUUCUUCCAAUUUGUGUCAUUGACAAAUUGACAAGAGUGCAUAUACAAUAUCAGAGCUUUAUCCUUUCUUGAUUAAAAGUAGAUUAUCUCUUUCUCUUAAUAAGACAUAAGCAUAUUAGAAGUUGUGAAUUACCCUUUUUUAAUCUAAUAUUUUUUUUAGAUUUUUUUUCUUGAUUCUUGAGUAUUAUAUUUUAUGAGGAUAGACACCUUUCUUUUUAUUGUGCUAGCUGAAAUAAUAAGAAUAGGUAGAAGAGCUUGCUAAAAUAAAGAGUGCAAUGGCUCAAAUAUAAAAGAAAAUGAGAGAGAUAAUGCUUGUAAUACAUUAAUUCAAUCUACUACCACAAGGAGCAACAAGAUUAUCAUGCAAUGAAGUUAUGAAGAUGAUUGGAGUUGCUUCAACAUCUACACUAAACCAUACUACUUCUCCUACAAUGGAACAUCGUUCAAAUUUCAAGGAACCAAAAAUUAAAUUGCUUGAGAAAUUUGAUGGUACAAGAUCUAAGUUUGAGCAUUCAUCAAUCAAGUACAAUUAGUGAUUGAACUACAAUCUUAAAGUUAUCCAACUCAAGGAUCAUAAGUCAAGUUUAUUGGAACACUACUUUUAGGUUCUCCUUUAUCAUAGUUUUUAUUAUUUUUUGAAUAAUAUGAUUUAAUAUUAGAUAAUUUAGAAGUAUUCUUAGAGAAUUUUUGAUCUAUGUAUAGAGAACACAAUACAAUCCAUAUUGCAACCAACAAGAUUCAUAUCUUACAACAAAAAAAUCGAUCAAUGAUAUUAUAUGCUUCAUAAUUUUGAUAAUUAGUGACAGAUAUUUAGUAGGAUGAUAUAGCAUUCAUUAGCCAAUUUUUCUAUGAAUUAUAAUAUAAAGUAAAAAAAAUUGAUGCUCAAUUUAUCUGAUCUUCAGACAUUGAGUCAAACAAUUGAUUUUUCUGUGAAAUGUGACAAUUGGCUUUUUGAGUUUUGAUCUAAGAAUCGCACAAGAAAACCUCAAUGUUAUUACAAUUCAAUGACGACACCAAUGACUUCUCAAUCUAAACAUUUGAAAGUAAAAGACAUAAAAAUUGAUGCAAUAUAUUUUAAACCUCUUACCAAACAAGAAAAGACUCAUUGUUGUCAAAAAGGACUAUAGUUAAAUUAUAAAAAAGCUAAGCUCAUUGCUCAAUAUUAUCCAAAGAAAUGACACAACUACAAAAUAAGGAGUAUAGUUGUGAAAGAUGAAAACAUGUUGAAAAUCAAAUUUAUCCACCUAUAAUAGGAAUUGUGCAUGUGGAAUCUUAUACAAUUUCUAAUGAAGGUCCUAUUUUUUUCUCAGAACCCUCUUUUUGUUUUACAAUAGAUAUAUGUUUAGGAUCUAAUAAUCAAAAACCUUCUUCUUUAAUAGAUUCAAGAGCCUCUGCUUGUUUUUAGGAUGAAGAAUUUGUUAAAAGUCAUAAUAUACAGUUAAUUCAAAAAAUUAAAUCCAUACAUGUAGAAGUCAAAGACGAUUGUCUGUUAUCUUUUGGAGAUAUUGCUCAUAAAAUACUUCCUAUAGAUGUAGUAAUAAAUGAUCAUAAUAGUUACAUAAUUUUUAAUAUAAUUAGAUCUUUCUCUAAUCUAAUCAUUUUAGGUUUAUCAUGGCUAGAAAAGUAUAAUCUUGUGAUAGAUUGGAUUUUUCUUCAAAUAUGAUCAAGAAUUUUUCUAAUCCAAUAGAAAGCUAUGAGUCUAGUAUAGCCAAACUUGUACUUGUAGGUGCAAAAGCUUUUUUGCAUACUACAAAAGAAGGAUCAUCUUUUAUUAUUUAUGCGACAUCCAUUUUAAAUGAUGGAAAGAUUUCAAGUAAAAUUCCAAAUCAAUAUUAAGAUUUUCAAGAUAUUUUUGAAAAAAAAAUGCAAAUAUUCUCUCAGAGCAUUGUCUAUAUGAUUGCUCAAUUAAUCUUUAAGAAGGAACUCAGCUGCCAUUUGGUCCAAUAAAUAGUUUAUUACAAAAUGAGUUGGCUGAACUAAAGAAGUACAUUGAUGAGAACUUAGCCAAGAAUUUCAUAUGCCAUUCAAAAUCUCCUGUAGGAGUUCUUAUCUUAUUUGUGAAGAAAAAAGAUGGAUCAUUGCAAAUGUAUGUAGAUUAUCGAGGACUCAACAAGAUUUCCAUUAAGAAUAGAUAUCCUUUAUCUUUGAUAUCUAAAAUUUUUGAUCAAUUAAAUUAAGCUAAAAUCUAUACAAAAAUAGAUCUAUGAAGAACAUACAAUCUGAUCUAUAUCAAAAAAGAGAUGAAUGGAAGAUUGCAUUUUGAAGAAGGUAUGGAUAUUUGGAAUAUAAUGUCAUGCCUUUUAGAGUCACAAAUGUACCACUUGCUUUUCAACAUCUUAUGAAUGAUGUUUUUUGUGAGUUUUUAGAUGAUUUUGUUGUCUAUUACUUAGAAGAUAUUUUAAUCUAUUCUAAGAAUGUAGAAAAAUAUGAAAUUCAUGUUUAUUAUGUGUUACCAAAACUUAAAGAUGGAAGAUUGUAUGCCAAAAUAAAAAAGUGUAUAUUCUAUACUAUUCAAGUUGACUUCUUAGUAUAUAUCUUUUUAAAUAAUGGUCUAAUGAUGGAUCUUAAAAAUAUUUAUACAAUCAUAGACUAGAAGAUUUCAAAAAUAAUAAGAGAUGUACAAUGUUUUUUGGAAUUUGUCAAUUACUAUUGGAUCUUCAUCAAGAACUUUUUUCAAGUUGCAGUGCUACUUACACCCUUAACUUGUAAAGACAAACUCAACUGAAGUAAAAAAGUAGAAGCAUCAUUUGAAGCUUUAAAAAAAACUUUUAUUUUUGCACCAAUUCUACAUUGCGUCGACUUCUCUAAAGCAUUUUUUAUAGAGACAUAUGCAUCUGACUUUGCCUUGGGUAUAGUCUUGUCAUAAAUAGGAGUAGAUGAUAAACUUCAUCUAGUAGCUUUUCAUUCAAGAAAAUUUUCAACAAUCGAGAUUAAUUAUGAGAUCUACGAUAAGGAACUUCUUGAAAUUAUGGAUUCUUUUCAAGAAUGGCAUCAUUAUUUAGAAGACGCUUCAAGUCUAGUCACCAUGUAUAUGGAUUACAAGAACCUCAAAUAUUUCAUGUCAGUACGUAUUUUGAAUCAUCUUCAAGCUUGUUAGAACAUGUCUUUGUAAAUAUUCAAGUUCAAUAUCAUUUAUUGGCCAGCAAAACAAUAAGGUUUGUCUGAUGUCCUUUCUAGGCAUUCUUAUCUUACACCAAUAGAAAGAAAAACAACUUUUGAUGAAUAAAAGAUAAUUUUAUUGAAGCCAAAAGAAUUUCAUCUAUGAGCAAUGAAAUCAACAUUGAUUAUUGAUUUGACUUUUUUCAAGCAGAUCCAAGCAAGUAUGUUCUUAGACCUUUUUGUUCAUGAUAUUAAAAAUAAUUCUUCUAAAUCUCAAGAUACUUAAGUUUGAGUUUAAAGAGAACCUAUUCUAUUUCGAAGGACGUUUAUAUAUUCCAAAAAGAGAAGCAAGAUUACAUACUCUUGAAGCUUGUCAUAAUUUUUGUGUAGCAAGAUAUUUUGGAUAUAAUAAGACUUUGAAACUUAUAUCUAGAGAUUAUUAGUGGCCUCAAAUGUAGAAGGCUAUUAAAGAAUUUUUGUAGAUAUGUGAUAUUUUUUUAAGAUCAAAAACUCCUUGUUAUUGACCAUAUGUACUUUUCUAACCAUUAUUGAUUCUAGAACAAUCAUAGUCUUCUGUCUCUAUGGAUUUUAUUACGAAUUUUCUAAUUUCAAGUUUAUAUGAUUCCAUAUUUAUAUUUGUAGAUUUUUUUAUCAAGAUGCCAUAUUUUAUACCAUGUACAAAAUCUAUUAUAGGUGAAGAAACAGCUAAAUUUUUUCUUGAUAAUAUCUAUUACUAUCAUGGAUUAUCAAGGGAUAUUAUAAAUUUGAUAAAGAAACACAAUUUUUAUCAAGAUUUUGGAGAAUUUUUUUCAAGAUAUUGAAAAUGGAUAUAAAACUAUCUUCAAAUUUCUAUCCUCAAACUCAUAGAUAAAUUGAACAAAUAAAACAAGUUUUAGAGUAGUAUUUGAGGUGUACCAUCAAUUAUCAACAAGAUAAUUGGACAACUCUUUUGCCAUUGGCAGUGUUUAUUUUCAAUAAUUUGGUACAUUCUUCUACUCAACAAACACCUUUCUUUGCCAAUUAGGAUUAUCAUCCAUGAUUUGAUAUUUUUGACUUUUCAAAUGGUUAUAAUCCUAUAGUAGAAGAUGUGACAAAUUGAUUAUCAAAGUUACAUGCAAUAAUAAAGGCACAAUUAAAAGAAGCUCAAGAAUGACAAAAAGCCAAUAUAGAUGUCUAUUGCAAGGAACAACUUCAAUUCUAUGUGUGAGAUAAGAUAUGGUUACUUCAUUGUAAUAUUAAAACUAUUUGUCUUGUGAUAAGUUAGAUUAUCAUAAGCUUGGACUAUUUCCCAUUUGUGAACAAAUCAAUCCAUUUGCUCAUCAAUUAUAACUAUCGGAAUCUAUGAAAAUCCAUCUUGUGUUCUAUGUAUCUUUACUUGAGCAAUAUAAGACAAUGGAUGUACAAAGAAGGAGACAAAUGCUACCACCUCCCAUAAAAAUAGACAAUAAUGAAGAAUUUGAGAUAUAAGAAGUUUUAGAUUUAAGGUGGCAUUAAAAUAGGUUAAAAUAUCUAAUAUAUUGGCAUAGAUAUGGCAUUAAUGAACGUACAUGGGAGCCAUUCAAGAAUCUAGCAAAUACAUCAAUCAAAAUUAAAACAUUUCAUCAAUAACAUCCAUCAAAAUCAAGAUAAAAAGUCAAGAAAUACUUUGCUAUAAAGCAAAGCAAGCCCAAUGGAGAUUUUAUUCUAUCUUGUAUCAUUGUUUCUUUAGAUUUUUUAGUGUUUAGGAGAUAGAAAACUAACAACUAGUUGAUUCAACUCAAGAACUAUCAUUUUCUAAGCUACCAAAUGAGAUAUUGUGACUAUCACAUCCUUUGAGAUGGCAAAAUCGAGAUGAAGAUUCUCAAGAACGACAUGUUCUUCCUUGAAUAGAUAGAAAGAUAUAAAGUAUUUGAUACAAUGAUCUUGGAAAGAACUUUUGAUGUUUAUUGAUACUUUUAGAGGUAGGAACCACUCUUGAUGGUAUUACUAAUAUUUUAUUUGAAGGAAGUUGUGAGGGCCUCAAUAAUGAUAGAAAAUCAAGGUGAUCUUGUAGCUCUAGUAUGAGACAUUAUUGAUGGUUAAAGGGAUGUAUCAAUUACCUUCAAAGGGAAUAAAGAUUAUAGUACGUUGUCGUAUUACAUGCUUUUCUGCUCGAGAACGGGUCGGGCGUCUGGCUGUAGAAGGUAGUAUCGAGAUUCGCUAAUAUUCAAGCAGUUUAUCGAUUUUUGACUGUUGGAAUAUAAACAACUACAAGAAUAUACUGUAAAUCUAUACGGAUGUCCUUCGACUCCUCGCUGAAGUCUUUUUUGUCCAUGUUGGUAGGUCUCUAGACGUUACAGAGAACCCCGAACAAUCGAAACUGCUAAUCUUCGAUACUGCUUUAUACUCACGAUCUUGUAUCUACUGAUUGUCUUGUUAGAUUAACCCAAUAAAUUUUUUUCACUCCGCAUACUCAAUCCUAUAGACACCUUUUUAAUUCUUCAUCACAGACGUAACUCGAUUUCACAAAACAGUCAAGAGUAAUCACAUCCACUUCAUUAAAAUCCCGAUUCACCAGUACAACAUUGACUUCAGCAACGAUUGCCUCAGUCUUCUCAAAACCCUAUGAAGAAAAAAAAUCCCAAUUCUCUGUAUUUUUUCCCUGCCCCAAAGAAUGAAGCUCGCUCUCCGACCCUUCUCUCCCCAAAAAAAACUUAUUCUCUCCCCUCCUCCCAUUUCUUAACCUAUCCUCCCCUUUAACCCUAAUUCUCCUCUCUUUCAAAUCCUAGCCUCUGAAUUUCUUCAAUCUUCUAUCUUGCAUCCAGAAAUGACCCCGCUGUCAGAGCUUUCUCCUCCAUUUUUACCUUUAAGAGAUCUUUUUACCGAAAGGACGUUUCCAAAACGGUGUCGUAUUACAUGCUUUCUUGCUUGAGAACGCGCCAAGCGUCUAGCUGUAGAAGGUAGUAUGGGGAUUCGCCAAUAGUCAAGCAAUCUAUCAGUUUUUGACUGCUGGAAUAUAAACGACUGCAAGAAUACACCGUUAAUCUAUAUGGAUGCCCUUCGACUGCUUGUCGAAGUCCUUUUUGCCCCAGCCGGUAGGUCUCUAGACGUUACAGAGAACCCCGAACAACACAAUCUGCUAAUCUCCGAUACCGCUUUGUACUUACGAUCUUGUAUCCACUGACUGUCUUGUUAGAUUAACCCAAUAAAUUUCAUUCACUCCGCAUACUCAAUCCUAUAGACACCUUUUUAAUCCUUCAAUCACAGACGUAACUCGAUUUCACAAAACAGUCAGAGUAAUCAAACCCACUUCAUUAAAAAUCUCGAUUCAUCAUUACAACACUGACUUCUGCAACGAUUGCCUCUAUCUUCUCAAAACUCUAUGAAGAAAAAAAUUCCAAUUCUCUGUCUUUUCUUCCCCAACCCCGAAGCAUAAAGCUCCUCUCCAAUUUCCCUGAUCUUCAAAAACCUCUAAUAAAAAAAAACUCGUAACCUUCCCAAGAGCUUGAAGCUAGCUCUUCCCUGAUCCCAAAAAUCCCCCUCCUUUGAUCUCUUCUUCUCCUAACCUUAUCCUCUGAAUUUCUUUAAUCUUCCAUCUUAGAGCCGGAAUUGGCUCCCAUCGUGAGAGCUUAGAUCCAAAAUUGGCUCCCGUCGUCAGAGCUUUCAAAACGGCACAGAGAAUAGGACAGCCUGAAACAGAAUCGAAACCCUGUACUCGGAUCCACAUUGAGUCGCCCGACCAAUUCAGGUCUCAUAUUGGGUAAGAAGACCCGUAGUAACCUGGAUGUUCUCGUAAUCAGACUACAUUGGGUUGCCCGACCAAUGCAGGUCUCAUAUUGGGUAAGAGGACCCGGAGUAAGACCUGGAUUUUCCCGUAAUCAGACUGCAUUGGGUUGCCCGACCAAUGCAGGUCUCAUAUUGGGUAAGAGGAUCCGGAUUGGAUUCUCGAAAUUAGAUCCAAUUGGCUCUUCGAACCAGGCUCACCCGUCGAGUGAAUUGGUCCUUUCCCUUCCUGCUGACUCCCGUUAUUGGAAUCGAACGGAGCAUUUCAGUAUGCCCCAGCUCACUGUAAUGGGGUGACUGAACCUGACCACUUAGUAUUUGCACUGGAGUUGGUCGUUGCUUCCAAUAUUCGAGGUAACUGAAUAUUAAUAAAAGUCCCUUUUCUUUAUAUUUUCACGGUAUACUCGUGUUACAACAUGACAUCCACCCCCUCUGAACCUGUGCAUCCUCCGGUAUGCACCAAUUUACCCAAUUGCUGUUUGAUUCAGAAUAUAUCCCCUACGUCUUUGUCCAGUUCGUCUUCGUCACCUUCAUUAUCCAUAUCACUUUCAUCUUCUUGCUGCGGAAUCUCUAUACCUUCAUUAAGGUCUUCCAUAUUCAUCUCUGCAUGUCUUCGUUUAAAUAUUUUUACUCUCUUCCCUGCAAUUGGUAUUUUCAAUUUUGUACCAUCUAACUCCUGUAAUGAGUAAGUCGCAUUAUCAUGAACAAUUGUUACAACAUAUGGUCCAAACCAACGUUUUGAAAAUUUCCACAAAGUACUAUGUUGAUUAUCCAGACUAUUGUCAUAAAUAAGUACCCAGUCACCUUCCUCGAUUGCUUUUGGUCUCAAUCGAUGUUGCUUAUCGAAUCGCGCCUUGUUUUGUAACCUUGCUCUUUUUAACCUUUCCAAUGCUAUCUGGACAUCUUCCGUUCUUUGCUCCAAUUGUCGAAUCCUAAUAGCCAGAAGUUCUUCUCUUGUCAAUCCAUCUUCCCAUGGUAGCAUACUCCAAGUAAGUACCUUUUCUUCAAUCGGCAUAAUUGGUUUUUGACCUGUCAUAAGUUCUACUGGCAUAUAUCCUGUCACCGAACUAUGUGUUGUUCGAUCAGCCCAUAAUGCAAAUGACAAACGCCGUGGCCACUCUUUAACAUUUCCAUUACAAGCUUUAACCAAUGCUUUCACAAUCGGCGGGUGACCACGUUCGCUUUUCGCAUUCCCUUCCGGAUUAUAAGCAGUAGGCAGUGAUAGUUUAACUCCACAUCUUUCAAAGAACUUACGAGCUUCUUGUGCAUUUAAUUCUCCACGAUCUGCAGUGAUUUUUCCUACGCACCCGUAACGACAAAUGACAUCUUCAAGCAAAAACCUACAAAUCCCCUUUGUAGAUUUUGUCCUCAAUGCUCUUCCUUCUACUUGAUUUGAUAAAUCUUCACGAGCUAAAACCAAAUAUCUCAUCUGCCAUAACCCAACCGGCAUAAUAACCAAAUCAACAACCCAUUUAAAAUGAAUAGCCAGAGGAUACGUAAGAUGAAGACCAUCUCGAUGUCGGAUAUUAGAAUACGAUUGACAGAUUUCACAUGACUCUACAAAUGAGAGCACAUCUCGAUACAUAUUUUUCCACCAAUAUCGGUCCUUGAGUUUAGCAAAAGUAGCCCAGAUUCCUCUAUGCCCUGCCCAUAAACUAUCAUGAAACUCCUUUAAUAAUUUUAGUUUUUCUUCCUUUUUGCCUAUCACUCGUUGUGGCAUCCCAAUUCCUUUCUUCGGUCUCUUCCAUAAGAAUCCAUCUCGAAGUAAAAGUCCAUAUGCUUUUUUUCUUAUUUGUUUGAAUUUUUCUGUAGACCAAUUCCCCUGCUUAGACAAGGUAUUCAAAUAAUGACCAAUAUCCAAUAAUUCUCCUUCAUAAGCUUCUUCAAGAAAUAGCUUGUCUUCUCUGUUGAGAUUUGAUAUUGAAUAGAAUUUCAAUCCGACAUCAUCAAUGUCUUCAACCAUUUCGUCCUCCCUCUCGUAUCUUGCUCGAGAUAGCAUGUCUGCUACAAAAUUGUCUUUUCCAGUGAUAUGCUUAAAUUCUGGAUUUAGUGACUUAAUAUAAGCAAUCCAUCUCAACAUUGCAAUAUCUGGCGUUGAACAGUUAAUAAUCAUUCCAAGCAAUGGCAAGCAAUCUGUUUCAAUUACUACUAUUGCCCCAAUCAAAUAGUCCUUUUCAGCUUUCAUAGCCGAAACGACUCCCCAAAGUUCUCUUUUGACUUGCGAAUAUGCACGUUGACGAAUACUUAAAACUUUAGCCCCAAAUCGAACUGCAAAUCUACUCCCAUUCGAAUCAUCUUGACCCACAGCCCAUCCAACGGCAAUUGGACUAGCGUCUACAGUAAGAAUCACUGGUCUAUUGCACUUAUAAUCAACCUUCCUCAAUAUUGGAGGUGACAUCAAUAAUUUCUUCAAUCUUUGCAUUGCCUGAAUAUGCCUUUCGUUCCAUUCAAAUCGGUAACCCUUGCGUAACAGUUCAUAUAAUGGAUCCGCUAUGUGAGCAAAAUGAGGGAUCCAGAUUUGAUAAAAUACACAUGCACCCAAAAACCUGCGAACCUCUGUUAAAGAAUCACAAUCCUCUUUUAUCCUUCCAAUUGCAUCAACUUUAGUCGGAUCUGGUUUUCUUCUGUAAGAUCUACAUAAAUGUCCAACAAUUACAACCUCUCGUACUCCAAAUACGACCUUCAUACCUGAUAAUGUAAGAUGAAUUUUUCCAAGCCGAGUUAAAAUCUUUUCACAAUCCUGUAUAUGAUCAACAACAUAUUUGCGACACCCCCUCGUAUCUAAAGCUUCAUCCUUGUCUCCUUCUCUGCAUCCUUUUAUAGGAACAUCAUCCAAAAAAGACAUAGUCUUUUCCAGAAUAAAAUCUCUCAAUACCUUAUUCAUCUCAUUCAUCAUAUGCGCAACUGAGUUGGUCGCGCCUUGAGGAAGAGUGCACAUUCUAACCAACCCAAGUAGUGUCCUCAUUGUUGUCAUAUCUCUACUUCCUUCGGCAAGUUGAAAUUGAUCAUAACCUGAAUACAAAUCACCCAUUGAAUAGAUCGCCCUUCCAGCAAACGCCUCAGCAAAUUCAUCCACAAUAGGUCCAAUUCCUGCAUUUCUAACAGUUACUGCAUUCACUAGUUGCAUAUCUUGAAUAAACCAUAGUGACCCAUUCUUCUUAGGUACCGUAAACCAUCCACUAGAAUACGGCGCAAAUGAGGGUUCCAAUAUUUUCAUCUUUAUCUUUUCUUUUAACAGUUCAACCAAUUUAGGUAAAUUUGCCCUCGGUACUAGAAUCAGUCUUAGUUUCCAAUGUACAUGUGGUACAGUGAAGAUAACCAUAGGUGUUAUAAUAUUUAGAUCCACACACCCAAUUUCAUGAGAUUCGAAGGCAAACGAUCUAUCUUGUCUAGCCAACAUCUUUUUGAAGCAAGUAAUUUCCUCCGGCAAUAAAGAACCAUCAGAACCAAUCUUCAAUUCUUCAAAAGUCUCUUUAGUAAACUGAUGUCCAAUACUCACUGGAUCUCUUAAACUUGCUUCUUUUGAUGCUUCUCCCAUUUGUUCUUUAAAAUCUUCUGGUAAUGGUCCGGCAACACGCUUUACCUUCUUAUCUACCGUUUUAUAUCUCGUCUCUAUAAUGACUUCUGGUGCUUGAAAAGAUUCAAGCAUGGUAUAAACCUCUCUCGAAUAAAUCUCAACAAUCUUGUCAUUAUCUCCUAACCCAAUAGAUGUAAUCAAUUCCAAUGAAUCUUCCAGUCCAUUUUCUUCAUAAAUACCUAAAAUCCUCUUAUCAUCUUGCAAUGUACCUAACUUGCGUAAUUGUCCUUCAAUAUCAUAUAAUCUUUUUCUUUCUUUUCUUUUAAAAUCAUCAACUUUCUUAUACAUAAUAUUUCCAUUCUCCGAUAUACCAAUAAAACUCGCAUCAAAGGUACCUUCAUCUCGCGAGAGUACCUCCUCUUUUGUACCUCCAUAAUCUUGCUUUACAGUGGUACCUCCCCAAAAUCCUUAAAUCCUUCAACAAUCUUUGACAAUGGUUUCUCCCUCAACCUAUCUCGAUUCCGUUCAUGGUUAGGAGGUACUGUUAGAAAUUGUACAGCUUUCCUCCCAUCCUUCUCUACGUAUCCUUGCAUAAGCAGAACCAUCGUCCAGUAUUUUUGUUUCCAUCCGUGUUGCCGUAAUAUAAGGUUGUCCUAAAAUCAACAAAUAAGAUGUUGUAUCUUGAACAAAGAAAUGUUGCUCCGUCGCAACAUCCCCAAUCCGAAUUUUGACAUCUGGACAAGCUCCAUAUAAUUCGCCCCAUGCGUUAUUAGCCUCCAAAUUGUCCAUCCAUGUUCCAUAUCAAUUGGCCAUUUUUACUCCUUAUAAAGAUCUUUAGACAUAAGAUUUAUUUCAGAACCGUGGUCGACUAAAGCAACUAUUGGUUCUUCUAUAUCUCCUACUUUCACCAAUACCUCAAUAGUUGCCCUUGCCCAAUGCUUUCGAGUAUAAUGGCUCAAAGUUUCCAUUUCCUUGUCACUAGAAUCUUUGAAACGUACUCGCUGAUUAUACCCAUUCUUUUCAUUUGUUGGUUGCUUGUAACCAAUAUCAACCUCUUCUUCAUCUUUAUAUAUUCUUGCAUCAAUAGCAUGACUCAUUCCAGUUUUGCCCAUUAAUUGCCUCUUUCGCUUAAUGCUGUCAAUGAUGACAUCAUGAAACUCCUUCUUUAUAAUUCCCAAGACUUUUUUCAAUGUGAAUUCUACCUUAGCGUUUAAUAUACGUUCUUCCAACACCCCUUUCAAAUUUGUUGCGGCUUCAAUGUCAGAAAGUAGCUUAUAAGUAAUUGAUUUGCUUUUAUCUUUUGUCUCUUUUGUUUUUUCUCCCAAUGAUGAUGAGGUAUCCUUUACAAGCAAUUCUUGUGAAGCUGCCUCCCGAGCCUUGUCUCCUCGAGUUUGCCUCUUAAAAGAAUUUCCUUCUCUAGUAUCAUCAAAAUUUCCUCGUCUCUUUUCUUCCAUCAAAGCUUCAUGUUGGCUCUUAGCAAUAUAUGCAUGAACUGAAAGAGACUCAACGGGAUCCUCCCAACCUGUUCUACCUUGUAUUGUAGCUACAGUCCUCAAUAACGCUUCUCGAGGUAAUUUCCCUUCUUGCAUUGUAGAAACGGCAGAAGCCCAAAACUCCCUAGUUUCUACACUUCCACCAAUUUCAUCAUCUACUCUAGCACCAUAACUUGCACUUUCUCGUGCUGCUGUUUCAUGCUCUUUUAGGUAAUCUUGAACCAAUGCUCUCAUUCCGCCCUUGCCAAAAUUGGUUUGAAGAAGAUCCUCUCUAUUUUUCAAUGCUAUCUUUCCAUCUUUCCAGCAAAUAAUUCCUUGCCGUAUCAUAUUAUUAAAUUUAUUGCAAUCUUUUCUAGUGUAUGAAGUAUCAUCACACCAAAUGCAUCUUUGUACAUAUCCUUGUUUUGAAACAUUCUUCGAAUUGUUUAUAGAUGUAUUCUCUUCAAGUCUUGCCAAUUUGAUUUGAAGAUCUCGCAUUCCUCAUAUAAUUUCUUCUAUACCCAUAUCUGCUUUCUUUGACAAGGAUGUCGAAGGUUGAACAGUAGGCAUUGUUGGUGGUGUUGUACGUACUGGAGCUUUGGGUGCUUGUACUGCUUUUGGAAUAUUGCUCCUAUCCUUCCUCCUUUUUUUUUUUGUAAGCAACCCCACCGCAUCUUCAACGUUCUUCCACUUCGUUGUCAAUCCUUCAUCUUCUUCUUUGUCUUCAAGAACGGGUUCUAAUUUCUCUUGCAAUUCUCCAUCAGCAGCUUGAAGAAAUAGAUCAACUUUGUUCGGCUCCAAUGUCAAUUUUUCUACCUUCGAUAAUUGAGAGUACUGCCUCUCAAAUUUCCUUAGUACCUUUGUUGCUUACAAAUUUUUAUUGGGCUGUUCAAUCCAUCCCAGAAAUAGCUUCUUAGUAACGUGAUCAGCAUCUUCCAAGAAAUAUUCGUCUUGCAAUGCAUGUGAAAAAUCCUCCCAUGAAUUCCCAUAACGAUCCGUAAUUGAUGUAAUGUGUUCUCUUUUCUCCGAUAUCGUGGCAAGUCCAAAUAGUGCAACCAUUUUCUUCUCAGAAACCCGAUUUAAUUCUAUUUCAUGAACAUAACAUCUGAAAUACCUUGAAAUAUUCCUCCCAUCAAAUUGAUCAAUUUUAUUGACCACUGCUUGCAAUGCUUUGGUUGCCAAAGCUUCCUUUCGAUCAUUGCUUUGCUGUUGCUGCAUUGACAAUGAGAAAGCUUGAAACAUACUAGCAAUAGACGGAUCCAUAUGCAUACCUUGUCUUUUAGAAGACUCCCCACCAGAAACUUCUCCCAAAAAUCCUUCAAAAUUUUUAUUUUCGUUUUCCAUCAAAUAAAGAUAAAAUCAACCAAAAUCCAAUACCUUCUACCUCAAGCUUUCACGUCGAGUUCACCACUUUUGUCGUAUUACGUGCUUUCUUGCUCGAGAACGCGCCGGGCGUCUAGCUGUAGAAGGUAGUAUAGAGAUUCGCCAAUAGUCAAGCAGUCUAUCAGUUUUUGACUGCUAGAAUAUAAACGACUGCAAGAAGAUACCGUUAAUCUAUAUGGAUGCCCUUCGACUACUUGUCGAAAUCCUUUUUGUCCCAGCCGGUAGGUCUCUAGACGUUACAGAGAACCCCGAACAACACAAUCUACUAAUCUCCGAUACUGCUUUGUACUUACGAUCUUGUAUCCACUGACUGUCUUGUUAGAUUAACCCAAUAAAUUUCAUUCACUCCGCAUACUCAAUCCUAUAGACACCUUUUUAAUCCUUCAAUCACAGACGUAACUCGAUUUCACAAAACAGUCAGAGUAAUCAAACCCACUUCAUUAAAAAUCUCGAUUCAUCAUUACAACACUGACUUCUGCAACGAUUGCCUCUGUCUUCCCAAAACUCUAUGAAGAAGAAAAAUCCAAUUCUCUGUCUUUUCUUCCCCGAUCCCAAAACAUGAAGCUCCUCUCCAAUUUCUCUGAUCUUCAAAAACCUCUAAUGAAAAAAAACUCGUAAUCUUCCCAAGAGCUUGAAGCUAGUUCUUCCCUGAUCUCAAAAACCCCCCUCCUUUGAUCUCUUCUUCUCCUAACUUUAUCCUCUGAAUUUCUUUAAUCUUCCAUCUUUGAUCCGGAAUUGGCUCCCAUCGUCAGAGCUUAGAUCCAAAAUUGGCUCCCGUCGUUAGAACUUUCAAAAUGGCACAGAGAAUAGGACAGCCUGAAACAGAAUCAAAACCCCGUACUCGGAUCCACAUUGAGUCGUCCAACCAAUUCCGGUCUCAUAUUGGGUAAGAGGACCCGUAGUAACCUGGAUGUUCUCGUAAUCAGACUGCAUUGGAUUGCCCGACCAAUGCAGGUCUCAUAUUGGGUAAGAGGACCCAGAGUAAGACCUGGAUUUUCCCGUAAUCAGACUGCAUUGGGUUGCCCGAUCAAUGCAGGUCUCAUAUUGGGUAAGAGGAUCCGGAUUGGAUUCUCGAAAUUAGAUCCAAUUGGCUCUUCGAACCAAGCUCACCUGUCGCGUGAAUUGGUCCUUUCCCUUCCUGCUGACUCCCAUUAUUGGAAUCGAAUGGAGCAUUUCAGUAUGCCCCAGCUCACUGUAACGGGGUGACUGAACUUGACCACUUAGUAUUUGCACUGGAGUUGGUCGUUGCUUCCAAUAUUCGAGAUAACUGAAUAUUAAUAAAAGUCCCUUUUCUUUAUAUUUUCACGGUAUAUUCAUGUUGCAAUACGACAACGGCACAAAGGACGAAACAGCCUGAAACGGAAUCAGAACCCUCGUAAUCAGGACCACAUUGAGUCGCCCGACCAAUUCAGGUCUCAUAUUGGCUAAGAGGCCCGUAGUAAGACCUGGAUUAGAUGUCUUGAAAUUGGAUCCAAUUGGCUCUUCAAACCAGGCUCACCCGUCGCGUGAAUUGGUCCCUUCCCUUUCUGUAGACUCCCAUUAUUGGAAUCGAACGGAGCAUUUCAGUAUGCCCCGGCUGACUGUAACGGGGUGAUUGAACCUAGCCUCUCAGUAUUUGCACUGGAAUUGGUCGUUGCUCCCAAUAUUUGAAGUAACUGAAUAUUAAUAAAAGUCUUCUUUCUUUAUAUUUUCAUAGUAUACUUAUGUUACAACACGACAUCCACCUUCUCUGAACCUGUGCAUCCUCCGGUAUGCACCAAUUUACCCAAUUACUGUUUGAUUUAUAAUAUAUUCUCUACGUCUUUGUUCAGUUCGUCUUGGUCACCUUCAUUAUCCAAAUCACUUUCAAUCUCUUGCUUCGGAAUCUCUAUACCUUCAUUAAGGUCUUCCAUAUUCAUCUCCACGUGUCUUUGUUUAAAUAUUUUUACUCACUUCUCUGCAAUUGGUAUUUUCAAUUUUGUACCAUCUAACUCCUGUAAUGAGUAAGUCGCAUUAUCAUGAACAAUUGUUACAACAUAUGGUCCAAACCAACGUUUUGAAAAUUUCCACAAAGUACUAUGUUGAUUAUCCAGACUAUUGUCAUAAAUAAGUACCCAGUCACCUUCCUCGAUUGCUUUAGUUCUCAAUCGAUGUUGCUUAUCGAAUCGCGCCUUGUUUUGUAACCUUGCGCUUUUUAACCUUUUCAAUGCUAUCUGCACAUCUUCUGAUCUUUGCUCCAAUUAUCGAAUCCUAAUAGCCAGAAGUUCUUCUCUUGUCAAUCCAUCUUUCCAUGGUAGCAUACUCCAAGUUAGUACCUUUUCUUCAAUCGGCAUAAUUGGUUUUCGACCUAUCAUAAGUUCUAUUGGCAUAUAUCCUAUCACUGAACUAUGUGUUGUUCGAUCAGCCCAUAAUGCAAAUGACAAAAGCCGUGGCCACUCUUUAACUUUCCCAUUACAAGCUUUAACUAAUGCUUUCACAAUCGGUGGAUGACCGCGUUCGCUUUUUGUAUUCCCUUUCGGAUUAUAAGUAGUAGUCAGUGAUAGUUUAACUCCAUAUCUUUCAAAGAACUUAUGAGCUUCUUGUGCAUUUAAUUCUCCAUGAUCUGCAGUGAUUUUUCGUAUGCAUCCGUAGCGGAAAAUGACAUCUUCAAGCAAAAAUCUACAAAUCCCCUCUGUAGAUUUUGUCCCCAAUGCUCUUCCUUCUACUUAAUUUGAUAAAUCUUCACGAGCUAAAACCAAAUAUCUCAUCUGCCAUAACUCAACCGGCAUAAUAACCAAAUCAACAACCCAUUUAAAAUGAAUAGCCAGAGGAUAUGUAGGAUGAAGACCAUCUCGAUGUCGGAUAUUAAAAUACGAUUGACAGAUUUCACAUGACUCUACAAAUGAGAGCACAUCUCGAUACAUAUUUUUCCACCAAUAUCGUUCCUUGAGUUUAGCAAAAGUAGCCCAGAUUCCUCUAUGCCCUGCCCAUAAACUAUCAUGAAACUCCUUUAAUAAUUUUAGUUUUUCUUCUUUUUUGCCUAUCACUCGUUGUGGCAUCCCAAUUCCUUUCUUCGGUCUCUUCCAUAAGAAUCCUUCUCGAAGAAAAAAUCCAUAUGCUUUUUUUCUUAUUUGUUUGAAUUUUUCUAUAGACCAAUUCCCCUGCUUAGACAAGGUAUUCAAAUAAUGACCAAUAUCCAAUAAUUCUCCUUCAUAAGAUUCUUCAAGAAAUAGCUUGUCUUCUCUGUUGAGAUUUGAUAUUGAAUAGAAUUUCAAUCCAACGUCAUCAAUGUCUUCAAUCAUUUCGUCCUCCCUCUCGUAUCUUGCUCGAGAUAGCAUGUCUGCUACAAAAUUGUCCUUUCCAGUGAUAUGCUUAAAUUCUGGAUUUAGUGACUUAAUAUAAGCAAUCCAUCUCAACAUUGCAAUAUCUGGCGUUGAACAGUUAAUAAUCAUUCCAAGCAAUGGCAAGCAAUCUGAUUCAAUUACUACUACUGCCCCAAUCAAAUAGUCCUUUUUAGCUUUCAUAGCCAAAACGACUCCCCAAAGUUCUCUUUUGACUUGCGAAUAUGCACGUUGACGAAUACUUAAAACUUUAGCUCCAAAUCGAACUGCAAAUCUAUUCCCACUUAAAUCAUCUUGACCCACAGCCCAUCCAAUGGCAAUUGGACUAGCAUCCACAGUAAGAAUCACUGGUUUAUUACACUUAUAAUCAACCUUCCUCAAUAUUGGAGGUGACAUCAAUAAUUUCUUCAAUCUUUGCAUUGCCUGAAUAUGCCUUUCUUUCCAUUUAAAUCAGUAGCCCUUGCAUAACAAUUCAUAUAAUGGAUCCACUAUAUGAGCAAAAUGAGGGAUCCAGAUUUGAUAAAAUACACAUGCACCUAAAAACCUGCGAACCUCUGUUAAAGAAUCACAAUCCUCUUUCAUCCUUCCAAUUGCAUCAACUUUAGUCGGAUCUGGUUUUCUUCCAUAAGAUCUACAUGAAUGUCCAACAAUCACAACCUCUCGUAUUCCAAAUACGGACUUCGUACCCGAUAAUGUAAGAUGAACUUCUCCAAGUCGAGUUAAAAUCUUUUCACAAUCUUGUAUAUGAUCAACAACAUAUUUGUGACACCCCCUCUUAUCUAAAGUUUCAUCCUUGUCUCCUUCUCUGCAUCCUUUUAUAGGAACAUCAUCCAGAAAAGGCAUAGUCUUUUCCGGAAUAAAAUCUCUCAAUACCUUAUUCACCCCAUUCAUAAUAUGGGCAACUCAGUUGGUCGCACCUUAAGGAAGAGUGCACAUUCUAACCAAUCCAAGUGGUGUCCUCAUUGUUGUCAUAUCUCUACUUCCUUCGGCAAGUUGAAAUUAAUCAUAACCUGAAUACAAGUCACCCAUUGAAUAGAUCGCCCUUCAAGCAAACGCCUCAGUAAAUUCAUCCACAAUAGGUCCAAUUCCUGCAUUCCUGACAGUUACUGCAUUCACCGAUUGCAUAUCUUGAAUAAACCGUAGUGACCCAUUCUUCUUAGGUACCGUAAACCAUCGACUAGAAUACGGUACAAACGAGGGUUCUAAUAUUUUUAUCUUUAUCUUUUCUUUUAAUAGUACCACUAAUUUAGAUAAAUGUACCCUCGGUACUGAAAUCGGUCUUAGAUUCUAAGGUAUAUGCGGUACAGUGAAGAUAACCAUAGAUGUUAUAAUAUUUGGAUCCACACAUCCAAUUUCAUGAGAUUCGAAGGCAAACGACCUACCUUGUUUAGCCAACAUCUUUUUGAAAUAAGUAAUUUCUUCCGACAAUAAAGAACCAUCAGAACUAAUCUUCAAUUCUUCAAAAGUCUCUUUAGUAAACUGAUGUCCAAUACUCAUUGGAUCUCUUAAACUUGCUUCUUUUGAUGCUUCUCCCAUUUGUUCCUUAGAAUCUUCUGGUAAUGGUCCGGCAACAAGCUUUACCUUCUUAUCUGUCAUUUUAUAUCUUAUCUUUAUAGUGACUUCUGGUGCUUGAAAAGAUUCAAGUAUGGUAUAAACCUCUCUUGAAUAAAUCUCAACAAUCUUAUCAUUAUCUCCUAACCCAAUAGAUGUAAUCAAUUCCAAUGAAUCUUCCAGUCCAUUUUCUUCAUAAACACCUAUAAUCCUCUCAUCAUCUUACAAUGUACCUAACUUGCAUAAUUACCCUUCAAUAUCAUAUAAUCUUUUUCUUUCUUUUCUUUUAAAAUCAUCAACUUUCUUAUACAUUAUACUUCCAUUCUCCAAAAUACCAAUAAAACUCGCAUCAAAGGCACCUUCAUCUCGCGAGAGUACCUCCUCUUUUGUACCUCCAUAAUCUCGCUUUACAGUGGUACCUCCCCAAAAUCCUUAAAUCCUUCAACAAUCUUUGGCAAUGGUUUCUCCUUCAACCUAUCUCGAUUCCGUACAUGGUUAGGAGGUACUGAUAGAAAUUGUACAGCUUUCCUCCUAUCUUCGCUCCGUAUCCUUGCAUAAGCAGAACCAUCGUCAAGUACUUUUGUUUCCAUCCGUGUUGCCAUAAUAUAAGGUUGUCUUAAAAUCAAUGGAUAAGACGUAUCUUGAACAAAGAAAUAUUACUCCGUCGCAACAUCUCCAAUCCAAAUUUUGACAUCUAGACAAGCUCCAAAUAAUUCGCCCUAUGUGUUAUUAGCUGCUCGUAUUGUCCAUCCAUGUUCCAUAUCAAUUGGCCAUUUUUGCUUUUUAUAAAGAUCUUUAGACAUGAGAUUUAUUUCAGAACCAUGGUCGACUAAAGUAACUAUUGGUUCUUCUAUAUCUCCUACUUUCACCAAUACCUCAGUAGUUGCCCUUGCCCAAUGCUUUUGAGUAUAAUGGCUCAAAGUUUCCAUUUUCUUAUCACUAUAAUCUUCAAAACGUACUCGUUGAUUAUACCCAUUCUUUUCAUUUGUUGAUUGCUUAUAACCAAUAUCAACCUCUUCUUCAUCUCUACAUAUUCUUGCGUCAAUAGCAUGACUCAUUCCAGUUUCACUCAUUAAUUGCCUCUUUCGCUUAAUGCUGUCAAUGAUAACAUCAUGAAACUCCUUCUUUGCAAUUCCCAAGACUUCUUUCAAUGUGAAUUCCACCUUAGCAUUUAAUAUACGUUCUUCCAACACCCCUUUCAAAUUUGUUGCUGCUUCAAUGUCAGAAAGUAGCUUAUAAGCAAUUGAUUUGCCCUUAUCUUUUGUCUCCGUUGUUUUUUCUCCCAAUGAUGCUGAGGUAUCCUUUACAGGCAAUUCUUGUGAAGCUGCCUCCCGAGCCUUGUCUCCUCAAGUUUGCCUCUUAGAAGAAUUUCCUUCUCUCAUAUAAUCAAAAUUUCCUCGUCUCUUUUCUUCCAUCAAAGCUUCAUGUUGGCUCUUAGCAAUAUAUGCAUGAACUGAAAGAGACUCAACAGGAUCCUCCCAACGUGUUGCACCUCGUAUUAUAGCUGCAGUCCUCAAUAACGCUUCUUGAGGUAAUUUCCCUUCUUGCAUUGUAGAAACGGCAAAAGCCCAAAACUCACUAGUUUCCGUACUUCCACCAAGGUCAUCAUCUACUCUUGCCCCAUAACUUGCACUUUCUUGUGCUGUUGUUUCAUGCUCUUUUAAAUAAUCUUGAAUCAAUGCUCUCAUUCCUCCCUUGCCAAAAUUGGUUUGAAGAAGAUCCUCCCUAUCUUUUAAUUCUAUCUUCCCAACUUUCCAGUAAAUAAUUCCUUGUCGUAUCAUAUUAUUAAAUUUAUUGCAAUCUUUUCUAGUAUGUGAAGCGUCAUGACACCAAAUGCAUCUUUGUACAUAUCCUUGUUUUGAAACAUUCUUCGAAUUAUUUAUAGAAGUAUUCUCUUCAAGUCUUGCCAAUUUGAUUUGAAGAUCUCGCAUUCCUCAUAUAAUUUCUUCUAUACCCAUAUCUGCUUUCUUUGACAAGGAUGUCGAAGGUUGAACUGUAGGCAUUGUUGGUGGUCUUGUACGUACUGGAGCUUUGGAUGCUUGUACUGUUUUUGGAAUAUUGCUCCUGUCCUUCCUCCUUUUGUCUUUUUGUAAGCAACCCCACAGCAUCUUCAACGUUCUUCUACUUUGUUGUCAAUCCUUCAUCUUCUUCUUUGUCUUUAAGAAGGAGUUCUAAUUUCCCUUGCAAUUCUCCAUCAGCAGCUUGAAGAAACAGAUCAACUUUGUCUGGCUCUUAUGUCAAUUUUUCUACCUUCGACAAUUGAGAGUACUGCCUCUCAAAUUUCCUUAGUAGCUCUGUUGCUUGUAAAUUCUUAUUGGGCCAUUCAAUCUAUUCUAGAAACAACUUCUUAGUAAUGCGAUCAGUAUCUUCCAAGAAGUAUUCGUCUUGCAAUGCAUGUGAAAAAACCUCCCAUGAAUUCCCAUAACGAUCCAUAAUCGAUGUAAUAUGGUCUGUUAUCUCUGGUAUUGUGGCAAGUCCAAAUAAUUCAACCAUUUUCUUCACUGAAACCCGAUUUAAUUCCAUUUCAUGAACAUAACAUCUUAAAUACCUUAAAAUAUUCCUUCCAUCAAAUUGAUCAAUUUUUUUGACCACUGCUUGCAAUGCUUUGGUUGCCAAAGCUUCCUUUCGAUCAUUGCUUUGCUGUUGCUGUAUUGAUAAUGGAAAGGCUUGAAACAUACUAGCAAUAGACGGAUCCAUGUGCAUACUUUGUCCUUUAGAAGAACCCCCACCAAAAACUCCUCCCAAAGAUCCUUCAAAAUUUUUAUUUUCGUUUUUCAUAAAAUAAAAAUAAACCCAAAUAAAAUCCAAUACCUUCCACCUCAAGCUUUCAUGUCAGGGUCACCAUUUUAUGUCGUAUUACGUGCUUUCCUGCUCAAGAACAUGCCGGGCGUCUAACUGUAGAAGAUAGUAUGGAGAUUCGCUAAUAUUCAAGCAGUUUAUCAGUUUUUGACUAUUGGAAUAUAAACAACUAUAAGAAUAUACCAUAAAUCUAUACGGAUGUCCUUCGACUACUCGUCGUAGUCCUUUUUGCCCCUACCGAUAGGUCUCUAGACGUUACAGAGAACCCCGAACAAUCCAAACUACUAAUCUUCGAUACCGCUUUAUACUCACGAUCUUGUAUCCACUGACUGUCUCGUUAGAUUAACCCAAUAAAUUUUGUUCACUUUGCAUAUUCAAUCCUAUAGACACCCUUUUAAUUCUUCAUCACAGACAUAACUUGAUUUUACAAAACAGUCAAGAGUAAUCAUUAUCACUUCAUUAAAAUCCCGAUUCACCAAUACAACACUGACUUCAGCAACGAUUGCCUCAGUCUUCCCAAAACCCUAUGAAGAAAAAAAAACCCCAAUUUUCUCUAUUUUUUCCCUGCCCUGAAGAAUGAAGCUCGCUCUCCGAUCCUUCUCACCCCAAAAAAAACUUAUUCUCUCCCCCCCUUCCAUUUCUUAACCUAUCCUCCUCUUUAACCCUAAUUCUCCCCUCUUUCAAACCCUAGCCUCUGAAUUUCUUCAAUCUUCCGUCUUGGAUCCGGAAUCGGCCCCGCCGUCAGAGCUUUCUCAUCCGUUUUUACAUUUAAGAGAUCCUUUUACCGAAAGGACGUUCCGGGAACGGCACAAAGGACAGAACAGCCUAAAACGAAAUUGGAACCCCCGUAAUCGGGACCACAUUGAGUCGCCCGACCAAUUCAGGUCUCAUAUUGGCUAAGAGGCCCGUAGUAAGACCUGGAUGUUCCCGUAAUUGGGUCAAAUUGGUCCUUUGCAUCAGAUUGGCUAAGAGGCCUGUAGUAAGACUUGGAUUGGAUGUCUUGAAAUUGGAUCCAAUUGGCUCUUCGAACCAGGCUCACCCGUCGUUGAAUUGGUCCCUUGCCUUUCUACUGACUCCCAUUAUUGGAAUCGAACGGAGCAUUUCAGUAUGCCCCGGCUGACUGUAAUGGGGUGACUGAACCUAGCCUCUCAGUAUUUGCACUGGAAUUGGUCGUUGCUCCUAAUAUUUGUGGUAACUGAACAUUAAUAAAAGUUUUUUUUUUUUUUUUUUAUAUUUUCACAGUAUACUCAUGUUAUAACACGACAACGUGGCUAAUACAAUUCGGCGCAUCUUGAACUUCAUCAAUAUGUAAUCACCGCUCCUUGUGGAACUUGUCCUUAGAAAGGAGGGAUAAUAUUAUAGACAUAUAUAUUUAUCCUGAUAAUUAUCUAAAUAAUACGAAUAAGUAGAAAUAAGUCAAAGUAAAUAAAUAUGAUAAUAUCUUGUGGAAAACUUCUUAGAAGCUUCAUAGACGUUGUUUUGCCUCUAUACAUGUCUAUAGGUGACUGGUAGAUUGAAAACUUGGCCAACAAAGAAGCCACGUGUUGACAUGUUGACCACUUGUAGUACAAGUUGGACAUAUGGCACACACCUAAGAAACUUGUCUUACAAAUUAGACAUGUAUCCUAUAAGUUGGAUGCAUAUUAGAGGUCCUAUAGCAUGUCGCUAUGUAUUUCUUAGUUAAGUAGUAUAUAUAGAGGCAAGAGUGAGGCCUUCUUCACUCUUGUCGAUUCUUUUCUUACUUUUAGUUUAGUUUCAAGAGACUUAUGUUUUCUUGUCUUUGGCAAUAGCCAUUCUAGUUCUUUCUUGAAUAUACAUACUUUUUUCUAUUUUUUUACUUUUUUUUUAUACAAAUUCCAUGAAUUUAUGUAUCUUCUUCUAGUUUGUAUCCUUGACAAUGGAUCUAUAUUGAUUUUGCAUUAAAUCAUAAUUUAAUUUCUAAGUAUUUAUUUAUUUAUUUAUUGAAUAUAUAUAGAAUGUAAAUGAUAAAAAGCCAAAAUAUAUUGAAGAUCCAAAAUAGUUAAUAAUUUUAGAAGAAUGAUAAAAAGAUUCAAUUUUAACUAAAGUAAUCUAUUAUAUCUUAACCUUGAAUUUUUCUAAAAUAACAAGAAUAUCCUUCAAUUUUGGAUAAGAUCAAAUUUAUCUUUCUUUUUGUGAUAAUUAUAAAAAUAUCCCUUGGAAUAAUAAUGUAUCUAAUUUUUAUUUUUUUUAAUUUGAACUAGGACCCAUAAAGCCUAGAGAGGCAUUUUUUUACACUAGCCUCACAUUAGGUCAAAUAUUGUGCAUAUAGGAGAAACUAUAAUGUGAUCCUUGAAGCAUGUAUCACUCUUGAUAUUGAUCUUGUAGAACAUAUUUGCAAUUGCUCUAUGACUGCUUUAGCAUUAGGACAUGCUGAAUCUUAAUUCCAUACACAACAAUGUCUAAUAUAUUGUAUUUCAUCUUCUCCAUGAGUUUCUCACAAAAAUGAGAUCCAAUGAAUCCACUCGUCCCGAUCAUGCAAAUCCCAAGUGGCAUGAUCUCCUGCCUAUCGAGGUUCAACCUCACCAUCAUUUUAACUCAAUAUAAUAUACUCUAUCAAGUUAUUUUUUUUGUAAUCUAACGUUGUCGUAUUACGUGCUUUCCUGCUCGAGAACGCGCCGGGCGUCUGGCUGUAGAAGGUAGUAUGGAGAUUCGCCGAUAGUCAAGCAGUCUAUCAGUUUUUGACUGCUGGAAUAUAAACGACUGCAACAAUGUACCGUAAAUCUAUACGGGUGCUCUUCGACUGCUUGUCGGAGUCCUUUUUGCCCCAGCCGGUAGGUCUCUAGACGUUACAGAGAACCCCGUACAACCCAAACUGUUAACCUUCAAUACUCCUUUGUACUUACGAUCUUGUAUCCACUGACUGUCUUGUUAGAUUAACCCAAUAAAUUUCAUUCACUCCGCAUACUCAAUCCUAUAGACACCCUUUUAAUCCUUCAAUCACAGACGUAACUCGAUUUCACAAAACAGUCAAGAGUAUUCAAACCCACUUCAUUUAAAAAUCCCGAUUCACCAGUACAACACUGACUUCAGCAGCGAUAGCCUCAGUCUUCCCCAAAAACUCUACGAAGAAGAAAAAUCCAAAUCCUAUGUCUCUCCUUCCCCGACCCGAAGCAUGAAGCUCCUCUCUCUAAUUCCCUUGAUCUUCAAAAACCUCCCAUUCCCCCUAAAUAAAAAUCCACACCACUCCAAAACUAUAUCCCCCCUAACCUUAUCCUCUGAAUUUCUUCAAUCUUCCGUCUUAGAUCCGGAAUUGGCUCCCACCUCAAGCUUUCUCCUCCGUUUUUACCUUUAAGAAAUCCAUUUACCGAAAACAACGUUCCCUGAGACGGCACAGAGAACAGGACAGCCUAAAACAGAAUCGAACCCCAUAAUCAGGACCACAUUGAGUCGCCCGACCAAUUCAGGUCCUAUAUUGGGAAAGAUGCCCGUAAUAACCUGGAUGUUCCCGUAAUUAGACUGCAUUGGGUUGCCCCACCAAUACAGGUCUCAUAUUGGGUAAGAGGACCCGGAUUGGAUUAUCGAAAUUGGAUCCAAUUGGCUCCUCGAACCCGUCGUGUGAAUUGGUCCUUUUCUUCCUACUGACUCCCAUUAUUCGAAUCGAACGGGGCAUUCCAGUAUGCCCCGGCUGACUGUAACGGAGUCACUGAACCUGACCACUCAGUAUUUGUACUGGAGUUGGUCGAUGCUCCCAAUAUUCGAGAUAACUAAAUAUUAAUAAAAUCCCCCUUUCUUUUUAUUUUCACUGUAUACUCGUGUUACAACACGACAUCCACCCCCUCUGAACCUGUGCAUCCUCCGGUAUGCACCAAUUUAUCCAAUUGCUGUUUGAUUCAGAAUAUAUCCCCUACGUCUUUGUCCAGUUCGUCUUCGUCACCUUCAUUAUCCAUAUCACUUUCAUCUUCUUGCUGCGGAAUCUCUGUACCUUCAUUAAGGUCUUCCAUAUUCAUCUCUGCGUGUCUUCGUUUAAAUAUUUUUACUCUCUUCCCUGCAAUUGGUAUUUUCAAUUUUGUACCAUCUAACUCCCGUAAUGAGUAAGUCGCAUUAUCAUGAACAGUUGUUACAACAUAUGGUCCAAACCAACGUUUUGAAAAUUUCCGCAAAGUACUAUGUUGAUUAUCCAGACUAUUGUCAUAAACAAGUACCCAGUCACCUUCCUCGAUUGCUUUUGGUCUCAAUCGAUGUUGCUUAUCGAAUCGCGCCUUGUUUUGUAACCUUGCUCUUUUUAACCUUUCCAAUGCUAUCUGGACAUCUUCCGUUCUUUGCUCCAAUUGUCCAAUCCUAAUAGCCAGAAGUUCUUCUCUUGUCAAUCCAUCUUCCCAUGGUAGCAUACUCCAAGUAAGUACCUUUUCUUCAAUCGGCAUAAUUGGUUUUUGACCUGUCAUAAGUUCUACUGGCAUAUAUCUUGUCACCAAACUAUGUGUUGUUCGAUCAGCCCAUAAUGCAAAUGACAAAAGCCGUGGCCACUCUUUAACCUUCCCAUUACAAGCUUUAACCAAUGCUUUCACAAUCGGCGGGUGACCGUGUUCGCUUUUCGCAUUCCCUUCCGGAUUAUAAGCAGUGGUCAGUGAUAGUUUAACUCCACAUCUUUCAAAGAACUUAUGAGCUUCUUGUGCAUUUAAUUCCCCAUGAUCUGCAGUGAUUUUUCCUACGCACCCGUAACGGCAAAUGACAUCUUCAAGCAAAAACCUACAAAUCCCUUCUGUAGAUUUUGUCCUCAAUGCUCUUCCUUCUACUUGAUUUGAUAAAUCUUCACGAGCUAAAACCAAAUAUCUCAUCUGCCAUAACCCAACCGGCAUAAUAACCAAAUCAACAACCCAUUUAAAAUGAAUAGCCAGAGGAUACGUAAGAUGAAGACCAUCUCGAUGUCGGAUAUUAGAAUACGAUUGACAGAUUUCACAUGACUCUACAAAUGAGAGCACAUCUCGAUACAUAUUUUUCCACCAAUAUCGUUCCUUGAGUUUAGCAAAAGUAGCCCAGAUUCCUCUAUGGCCUGCCCAUAAACUAUCAUGAAAUUCCUUUAAUAAUUUUAGUUUUUCUUUCCUUUUGCCUAUCACCCGUUGUGGCAUCCCAAUUCCUUUCUUCGGUCUCUUCCAUAAGAAUCCAUCUCGAAGUAAAAAUCCAUAUGCUUUUUUUCUUAUUUGUUUGAAUUUUUCUGUAGACCAAUUUCCCUGCUUAGACAAGGUAUUCAAAUAAUGACCAAUAUCCAAUAAUUCUCCUUCAUAAGAUUCUUCAAGAAAUAGCUUGUCUUCUUUGUUGAGAUUUGAUAUUGAAUAGAAUUUCAAUCCGACAUCAUCAAUGUCUUCAACCAUUUUGUCCUCCCUCUCGUAUCUUGCUCGAGAUAGCAUGUCUGCUAUUGAAUAGAUCGCCCUUCCAGCAAACGCCUCAGCAAAUUCAUCCACAAUAGGUCCAAUUCCUGCAUUCCUGACAGUAACAGCAUUCACCGGCUGCAUAUCUUGAAUAAACCGCAGUGACCCAUUCUUCUUAGGUACCGUAAACCAUCGGCUAGAAUACGGCGCAAAUGAAGGUUCUAAUAUUUUCAUCUUUAUCUUUUCUUUCAAUAGUUUGACCAAUUUAGGUAAAUGUGCCCUCGGUACUGGAAUCGGUCUUAGAUUCCAAGGUACAUGCGGUACAGUGAAGAUAACCAUAGGUGUUAUAAUAUUUGGAUCCACACACCCAAUUUCAUGAGAUUCGAAGGCAAACGAUCUACCUUGUUUAGCCAACAUCUUUUUGAAGCAAGUAAUUUCCUCCAGCAAUAAAGAACCAUCAGAACCAAUCUUCAAUUCUUCAAAAGUCUCUUCAGUAAACUGGUGUCCAAUACUCAUUGGAUCUCUUAAACUUGCUUCUUUUGAUGCUUCUCCCAUUUGUUCUUUAGAAUCCUCUGGUAAUGGUCCGGCAACAGGCUUUACCUUCUUAUCUGCCGUUUUAUAUCUCGUCUCUACUGUGACUUCUGGUGCUUGAAAAGAUUCAAGCAUGGUAUAAACCUCUCUCGAAUGAAUCUCAACAAUCUUAUCAUUAUCUCCUAACCCAAUAGAUGCAAUCAAUUCCAAUGAAUCUUCCAGCCAAUUUUCUUCAUAAACACCCAAAAUCCUCUCAUCAUCUUGCAAUGUACCUAUCUUGCGUAACUGUCCUUCAAUAUCAUAUAAUCUUUUUCUUUCUUUUCUUUUAAAAUCUUCAACUUUCUUAUACAUAAUAUUUCCAUUCUCCAAUAUACCAAUAAAACUCGCAUCAAAGGCACCUUCAUCUCGCGAGAGUACCUCCUCUUUUGUACCUCCAUAAUCUCGCUUUACAGUGGUACCUCCCCAAAAUCCUUAAAUCCUUCAACAAUCUUUGGCAAUGGUUUCUCCCUCAACCUAUCUCGAUUCCGUUCAUGGUUAGGAGGUACUGUUAGAAAUUGUACAGCUUUCCUCCCAUCUUCGCUCCGUAUCCUUGCAUAAGCAGAACCAUCGUCAAGUACCUUUGUUUCCAUUCGUGUUGCCGUGAUAUAAGGUUGUCCUAAAAUCAACGGAUAAGACGUUGUAUCUUGAACGAAGAAAUGUUGCUCCGUAGCAACAUCCCCAAUCCGAAUUUUGACAUCUGGACAAGCUCCAUAUAAUUCGCCUCGUGUGUUAUUAGCUGCUCGUAUUGCCCAUCCAUGUUCCAUAUCAAUUGGCCAUUUUUACUCCUUAUAAAGAUCUUUAGACAUAAGAUUUAUUUCAGAACCGUGGUCGACUAAAGCAACUAUUGGUUCUUCUAUAUCUCCUACUUUCACCAAUACCUCAAUAGUUGCCCUUGCCCAAUGCUUUCGAGUAUAAUGGCUCAAAGUUUCCAUUUCCUUGUCACUAGAAUCUUUGAAACGUACUCGCUGAUUAUACCCAUUCUUUUCAUUUGUUGGUUGCUUGUAACCAAUAUCAACCUCUUCUUCAUCUUUAUAUAUUCUUGCAUCAAUAGCAUGACUCAUUCCAGUUUUGCCCAUUAAUUGCCUCUUUCGCUUAAUGCUGUCAAUGAUAACAUCAUGAAACUCCUUCUUUGCAACUCUCAAGACUUCUUUCAAUGUGAAUUCCACCUUAGCAUUUAAUAUACGUUCUUCCAACACCCCUUUCAAAUUUGUUGCUGCUUCAAUGUCAGAAAGUAGCUUAUAAGCAAUUGAUUUGCCCUUAUCUUUUGUCUCCGUUGUUUUUUCUCCCAAUGAUGCUGAGGUAUCCUUUACAGGCAAUUCUUGUGAAGCUGCCUCCCGAGCCUUGUCUCCUCGAGUUUGCCUCUUAAAAGAAUUUCCUUCUCUAGUAUCAUCAAAAUUUCUUCGUCUUUUCUCUUCCAUCAAAGCUUCAUGUUGGCUCUUAGCAAUAUAUGCAUGAACUGAAAGAGACUCAACGGGAUCCUCCCAACCUGUUCUUCCUCGUAUUGUAGCUGCAGUUCUCAAUAACGCUUCUCGAGGUAAUUUCCCUUCUUGCAUUGUAGAAACGGCAGAAGCCCAAAACUCACUAGUUUCCGUACUUCCACCAAUUUCAUCAUCUACUCUAGCACCAUAACUUGCACUUUCUCGUGCUACUGUUUCAUGCCCUUUUAAGUAAUCUUGAACCAAUGCUCUCAUUCCUCCCUUGCCAAAAUUGGUUUGAAGAAGAUCCUCCCUAUCUUUCAAUGCUAUCUUCCCAUCUUUCCAGCAAAUAAUUCCCUGCCGUAUCAUAUUAUUAAAUUCAUUGCAAUCUUUUCUAGUGUGUGAAGCAUCAUCACACCAAAUGCAUCUUUGUACAUAUCCUUGUUUUGAAACAUUCUUCGAAUUGUUUAUAGAAGUAUUCUCUUCAAGUCUUGCCAAUUUGAUUUGAAGAUCUCGCAUUCCUCGUAUAAUUUCUUCCAUACCCAUAUCUGUUUUCUUUGACAAGGAUGUCGAAGGUUAAACUGUAGGCAUUGUCGGUGGUGUAGUACGUACUGGAGCUUUGGAUGCUUGUACUUGUUUCGGAAUAUUACUCCUAUCCUUCCUCCUUUCUUUUUUUGUAAGCAACCCCACCGCAUCUUCAACGUUCUUCCACUUCGUUGUCAAUCCUUCAUCUUCUUCUUUGUCUUCAAGAAGGGGUUCUAAUUUCUCUUGCAAUUCUCCAUCAGCAGCUUGAAGAAAUAAAUCAACUUUGUUCGGCUCCAAUGUCAAUUUUUCUACCUUCGAUAAUUGAGAGUACUGCCUCUCAAAUUCCCUUAGUAGCUCUGUUGCUUGCAAAUUCUUAUUGGGCCGUUCAAUCCAUCCCAGAAACAGCUUCUUAGUAACGCAAUCAGCAUCUUCUAAGAAAUAUUCGUCUUUCAAUGCAUGUGAAAAAUCCUCCCAUGAAUUCCCACAAUGAUCCGUAAUCGAUGUAAUGUGGUCCCUUAUCUCCGGUAUCGUGGCAAGUCCAAAUAGUGCAACCAUUUUCUUCUCAGAAACCCGAUUUAAUUCCAUUUCACGAACAUAACAUCUUAAAUACCUUGAAAUAUUCCUCCCAUCAAAUUGAUCAAUUUUAUUGACCACUGCUUGCAAUGCUUUGGUUGCCAAAGCUUCCUUUCGAUCAUUGCUUUGCUGUUGCUGCAUUGACAAUGAGAAGGCUUGAAACAAACUAGCAAUAGAUGGAUCCAUGUGCAUACCUUGUCCUUUAGAAGACUCCCCACCAGAAAUUUCUCCCAAAAAUCCUUCAAAAUUUUUAUUUUCGUUUUCCAUAAAAAAUAAAGAUAAAAUCAACCAAAAUCCAAUACCUUCUACCUCAAGCUUUCACGUCGGGUUCACCACUUAUGUCGUAUUACGUGCUUUCCUGCUCGAGAACGCGCCGGGCGUCUGGCUGUAGAAGGUAGUAUGGAGAUUCGCCGAUAGUCAAGCAGUCUAUCAGUUUUUGACUGCUGGAAUAUAAACGACUGCAACAAUGUACCGUAAAUCUAUACGGGUGCUCUUCGACUGCUUGUCGGAGUCCUUUUUGCCCCAGCCGGUAGGUCUCUAGACGUUAUUGAGAACCCCGUACAACCCAAACUGUUAACCUUCAAUACUCCUUUGUACUUACGAUCUUGUAUCCACUGACUGUCUUGUUAGAUUAACCCAAUAAAUUUCAUUCACUCCGCAUACUCAAUCCUAUAGACACCCUUUUAAUCCUUCAAUCACAGACGUAACUCGAUUUCACAAAACAGUCAAGAGUAUUCAAACCCACUUCAUUUAAAAAUCCCGAUUCACCAGUACAACACUGACUUCAGCAGCGAUAGCCUCAGUCUUCCCCAAAAACUCUACGAAGAAGAAAAAUCCAAAUCCUAUGUCUCUCCUUCCCCGACCCGAAGCAUGAAGCUCCUCUCUCUAAUUCCCUUGAUCUUCAAAAACCUCCCAUUCCCCCUAAAUAAAAAUCCACACCACUCCAAAACUAUAUCCCCCCUAACCUUAUCCUCUGAAUUUCUUCAAUCUUCCGUCUUAGAUCCGGAAUUGGCUCCCACCUCAAGCUUUCUCCUCCGUUUUUACCUUUAAGAAAUCCAUUUACCGAAAACAACGUUCCCUGAGACGGCAAAGAGAACAGGACAGCCUGAAACAGAAUCGAACCCCGUAAUCGGGACCACAUUGAGUCGCCCGACCAAUUCAGGUCCUAUAUUGGGAAAGAUGCCCGUAAUAACCUGGAUGUUCCCGUAAUUAGACUGCAUUGGGUUGCCCCACCAAUACAGGUCUCAUAUUGGGUAAGAGGACCCGGAUUGGAUUAUCGAAAUUGGAUCCAAUUGGCUCCUCGAACCCGUCGUGUGAAUUGGUCCUUCUCUUCCUACUGAUUCCCGUUAUUCGAAUCGAACGGGGCAUUCCAGUAUGCCCCGGCUGACUGUAACGGAGUCACUGAACCUGACCACUCAGUAUUUGUACUGGAGUUGGUCGAUGCUCCCAAUAUUCGAGAUAACUGAAUAUUAAUAAAAUCCCCCUUUCUUUUUAUUUUCACUGUAUACUCGUGUUACAACACGACAACGUACAAAGUAGGAAUGAGAGAACUAAAAUAAGAACAGUACAUGCAGUCGUGGAGAGUGAGAGAGACUACUAUCUUAGCGAUCAUGGACUCAAAAUUGUGAUGUUCAUUUUAAAUUGUGGAGCUCUCAUUGUAAUGAUUGUCCAUACUCUGCCUCUUAAGUUGUAGAUAAUAUUGUAUGUACAUACAUUACUAGAUAAAAGAAUCAAUUAAAGAAUCUAUAUAAGAUUUGGUAGUCUUUUAAUUUUUAUGCCAAUUGCUUCAUUGGUAUGUGAUGAAUGGUCACCAAAUCUAGUUACAAUCAUUAUUGAUUAGACUUGCCAAAUUGACUCAAGUGGAUGAUCAAAUUUUAUUACCAAGUAGCCUUAUUUAGGUUGAUGUGGCACAUUGAAACAACUUUUGUAGCACAAGUUCAUACUUAUAUGUUGACUUUUCUACCAAGCUAGGAAAGAGGUAAGCAAUGGCAGCCAAUGAUAAUUUUUGAGUAUAACUGAGCAAGAAAUGUAAAGAAGUUUGAAUGCGACUAGCCAAGGACAUGUUAACUUAUCAAAAUCUAUUGGUAGUUUAUUGCUUAUUAUCUUAGCUGUUGCUUGGGAUUUUAUCAUUUGUUGUAAAUUUUAACUAAUUUUACUAUUGACACUUAGCUUGUGAAGAACAUAGCUUUAGUCUAUCUUAAUAUUUGUGAUGUCUUGAUAGAUAGAAUAGAACAAAAGAGGCAAUGAAUUUUUUAGAUGGUCUUCUUCUACAGCCUUGAAGAAUAAACUAAAUUAUUUUUUGGUAUGUUUGUAGCAAAAUUGCAUAAUAUAACAUUCAUCAUUUUCUUUCACUUUCAUCUUAAGAAGGUAGCAACUUACCACAUAUUUAUUAAGUUUCAAACCAAGUGAACAGUCACUUGAAUUUAUCCAAAUAUAUAAUAGAACCAUGGUUUAAGAGAUGUCAAUAUCAAGGAUAUAAACUAAAAAGUUGUAGAAGAUUUUAGAAGAUUCUAAAGAAGCUUUGUAGUUUGUAGAAGCUACUUGAGAAGUUUUCAAGCUCGUAGAAGCUCAUUGAGAAGCUCCCUAGCUUGUAGAAGCUCCUUGAGAAGCUUCCUAAUUUAUAGAAGCUGCUUGAGAAGCUUUCUAACUUACAGAAGCUGCUUGAAAAACUUCCUAUUUUGCGGAAGCUACUUGAGAAGCUUUCUAGCUUAUAGUAUAUAUAAGAGCCGAGAUUGAGGGGAUCCUCAGUCUCGACAACAACCUCUUGGAGCUCUAGCUCACCUCUCUAGUGUUCUUCUUGUACUCAUCUGAUCAAUCUAAUUCUUUAUUGAUUCUUCUUAAGCUUUUUGUUCAGAAUUUCAGUCAGUAUUCUAAAUUCGUGACAGUUUGUCAAAACUACACUCAUCUUUUAUAUCAAAGCUAGUUCCUUCUUAUUAGAGUGUGGAUUAUCCCUCUACUUGAAGGUGCUGGCAUUUUAGAGGUUCUGGAUUACCCUCCUCUAAAUUAAUAUUUCUUCUAUUAUAAUAUUAGAGUCUUAUCUUUUUUGGAGAGAGAGGAUUAUCCCUCUUUUAGCGAUGGGCUACAACAAAGAUUUGGUCACUACGAUAAGGGGCACGCUCCGCAUCAGUUUAUACAUCAGAUUUCAAACAAUUAACGUGUGACAUCAUUUGGGAUGAAGAAGCAUUGAUGAGUCAAUUUUAUUGGGGCUUGAGAGACAAUGUGAAGGAUUUAUUAUUAUCUCUUUUAAAUUUAUAAAUACUCAACAAAGCCAUUAGCCAAGCUGUGAAGUGCGAUAAUGACCUAAUCCAACAUCACCAAGAUCAACGCUCAAGAUAACAUACAGCUCACCACGCUCUAAUUAUGUCAGCAAACAGCAUGAAUUCACAUUCAGAGGGAGAAGACAUGCAAAUUGACACUGUACGUGUCAAAUCUCUAACUCUAGAAGAAAAAAAGCAGCGUAAGGAAGAAGGACUAUACUUGUAUUGUAGUCAAGAAGGCCACAGGGCUGAAAACUACUUCAAGAAGUAAAAUUGAUGCAUUGUCAGGACUAGAGGUACGUUUAUUCAAGAAAAUGAGGAUGUCCAGCCAUAAUAGGGACCGUGUGGUUGGAUAAUUCAAUACUACAACAACAAUCAAGUUCCUCUCUUUCUACUCAACCUACCCAUUACUUUAUCAUUUUUCCAUCUUUUGGCCCUUAAAAAUUAAAAAUCUUAGCAUUAUAAGAUUCAAGAGCAUCUGCUUACUUUUUAAACGAAGAAUUUGUUAAGCGUCACAAGAUUCUUUUAGUACAAAAAUCUAAACUUGUUCACGUAGAAGUAAUAGAUGGACGACCUUUAUUGUUUGAUAGUGUCACCCAUGAAUGACAACCUAUAGAAGUAACGUUUAUAAGUUGUAUUAUUUUCAAUAUUAUUAGAACCUCGUUAAACCCUGUUAUUCUUGGUCUUUUUUGGUUAAAAAUGCAUAAUCCAUCCAUAGAUUUGAGGUUACAAAAGACGACAUUUCCUAUAGAACAUUCUGGGAGUAAGCCUAUUAAAAGAUCCCAAAUCAAAAAAUACUUAUUUAUUGGACUAAGAGCAUUUGUAACAUCGGCCAAGGAAGAUACAUCAUUUAUUAUUUCUGCAACUCCAACUAGCGAAGACAAGAUUUUGAUAGCAAUUCGAGUCAUUUGAAGUCACCAAUUGAGGCACCAAUCUUAUUUAUGAAGAAGAAAGAUGGCUCGCUGUGGAUGUACAUAGAUUAUCGAGGUUUCAAUAAGGUGAAAAAGAAGAAUUUUUAUCCAUUAUCCUUGAUAUCAAAUCUUCUAGAGCAACGUAGGCAUGCAAGGAUCUUUAUAAAGAUUUAUCUAAGGGGAGCUUACAAUCUCAUACGAAUCAAGGAAGGAGACGAAUGGAAGAUAGCUUUCCGUACAAGGUAUGGCCAUUUUGAAUAUAAUGUCAUGCCUUUUGGUCUUAUCAAUGCUCCAGUGGUCUUUCAAUAUAUGAUGAAUGACAUCUUUCGAGAGCACCUUGACGAUUUUGUUGUCAUCUAUUUAGAAGAUAUUCUGAUAUUUUCCAAGAACAUAGAAGAACAUGAGAAACAUGUUUGUCUGGUCCUUGAAAAACUCCGCGAGCGAGGACUUUAUGCCAAAUUAGAAAAGUACUUGUUUAACCAAACUGAGCUGGAAUUUUUGGAAUUCAUUGCAACCACGGAAGGUUUGAAGAUGGACCCUAAAAAGGUGGAAGCAAUUGUAUCAUGGGAAGUUCCAAAGAGGAUUGGAGAUGUACAAUUCUUUUUUAGCUUUGCUAACUUCUAUCGGAUCUCCAUCAAGAAUUAUUUUCAAGUUGCUGCUCCGCUAUCAUAAUAUGUGAAGUCUUGCUUGAGAAUGCUCCGGACACCUCACUAUCGAAGGAAGAAUAGAAAUUACAAUAAUAGAAUUCUAAUUCAAAUAGAAUACUAACAAUGCUCUAAUUAGACCAUAAUAAUACUAAGCAAGCUUAAUCAAAUUCAAAGAAACCUAAGAGAAAUUUCAAACAAACAAUAAGAAUUCUUAAAAAAAUAUUAAAAGGAUCACAAAUAUCACUCAAAUACAUCUCAAUUCAAUCUUAAUUUAAUUCUAGUUAAAAUCCUACUAAACUUCAUUCAAACUUUAGGCCAAAACUAAUUGAAUCUUAAAACUUAAUAAAAUCCUAAACUCUAAAUUAAAUCCUAAACAAACCUUAAACCAAGCCCCAACCAAAUUCUAAACCAAAUCCUAAAUUCUAAACCAAAUCCUAAAUUCUAAACCAAAUCCUAAUCCAAAUCCUAAAUCUUAUAUAAAAUCCUAAUCAAACCCUAAUCCAAAUCCUAAAUCCUAAAUAAAACCCUAAUCAAAUCCUAAAUCUUAAACCAAAUCCAAACUAAAAACUAAAACCUAAAUCAAACC